CAACAGGCUCGCAACUAUACAGGGCUCGCACCUUUUGAUGAGUUCAUAGCUCUCACUUCUCGCUAAGCUUGCAGCUUACACAUUUUGCUAAGCUUGCAGCUUACACAUUUUGCUAAGCUUGCAGCUUAGACAUUUUUGCUGAACUUGCUGCUUGCACAUUGGAAAGCUCACAUUCUUUCCUUGAAACUCCUUCAGCUUAUUCAAGCUUGUUUGGGAGUCUCUUAAGGUUGAGAUGAUGUUGUCUUCUCUUCAAGCAGUCCUUGAUGACAUGCUUUGACAACUUCUUUCUUUUAACAAGCAACAGAAGCAAAAAUCAAUGGCCCUUAAGAUUAAGGCUCUGAUACCAAUUGUUGGGGAUUUUUGAAGCAGAGGAAGAAAUAUAGGACAAAACAAUGCAGUAUUUUUACUUGCUCACAAAUGUGCAGCAAGGGAGUUAUGGCUUCAGCUCAUUUAGCUCAUCUUUUCAAUAAGAAAAACAAAACAUUAAUAGUCAACUACAUCACCUAAACAUUCACCUAACACCACGAAGUUACAUUGGAAUUUAUGAAAACAUUACUUGCACACAUAGGUAAGCUAAUUUAUCAAUCUAUCAGCACCUAAUUACAUUAAAAACUAUACCAACUCAGUUCAUUUUGAACUAAAAAACUAAACUAGUGCUUGAAGUAACAAAAUGAACAACAGCUUGAACUUUAGCCAGCAUAAGUAUGGCUUUGCAGCUUGUUCUGCUUCUUGGCUGCUUCAUGUACUGCAUGUGCUACAUGCAUGCCAACUUCAACAUUUCUGCUGUUAUUCCAGAAAGGUAUACCUUCAAAAUGGUUUUUUUAAGGGAUCGAGGUAUUCUAACAGUUAAGGUUCUAUCAAAUGUUGUCGGUGCAAUGAAGUUGAAGAGACUUGUGAUCAUAUUUUUAUUUCUUGGAAAGCUUGAGAAGUGUUGUUUCAAUGGUGGGUGUUAUACUUGAAAUAUAAUUAAAUUGUUUGAUAAAUACAAAUAUCAAAUUAUAAAAAAAAUUUAUUUUAUAAUUUUAUUCUUAAUUUUUAAACAUUGCACAUUAUUUUAAAUAAAGUUAUAUAUUAAAUAACAUUACUAUAAAUAUGAAAAAUUUGUAGUAAAUUAUAGUAUUACUUAUAAAAUAUUUAAAAAUUAUGAAAAAUAAAUAUUAUACCGAGAAUUAAAAAAAAUGAAGGUUCAUAUUUCAUAGAAAAUUUUGUUGAAUAAAAUAACAUAGUGAGAAAAAAAUUGAAUCUAAUGUGUGAUGGUCUGAUGGUCAGGAUGUUCACUACCCUAGAUGUAGUUUGGAUUCAAGUCAUGUUAGUCACAAUUGUUGUUUAAAUUUUACCCUGUUAUUGUAAUUCACAAAAAAAAAUGAAGGAUGUCACUUUUUUUAGUAGAUAAAAUUAGAUAAAUAUUGAAUUUCCCUUUAUAUUUGUCUUUGAAUUACACUUUUUUUUAAUUUAAAUAUUGAAAUUUAUAAUUAAACAAUAUCUUGUAAUAGAAUGAUUUAAUGCAUAAUUUGAUAUUUAAGUUUGACACUUUUUCUAAGGUGGUACUCUUGUUUUUUUUGUUCAAUUUGUUACAUGUAUUUGACAAAAGUUAUAUAUUUUGGUAUUCAAAAGUAACGAUGUUAACUUUUUAGUGUUUAAUUUGGGUAUGGGAAUUGAUUUAAUGAAAGUUAAUUGCUAAUAUUAUUAAAUUUGAAUUGUCCAUGAUUUUGUUAAUAGAAUAAAUUUAGUGUUAAUUAUGGAUUUGUUUAAUUUUGUAUUUAAUUUGUCAAAUAUAGUCCAAUGGAUGUGAUUUCAUUUGGGUUUUAGAGUUGAUUUUGUAACAUCCCCUAACCCCAAACCGUCACCGAAACAGGGUUACGAGGUAUUACCGGACAUAUCAAACAACUUACGAGUAAUUCACAAUUAAUAUAACACUUAUAGUAUAAUUUAAUAAUUAAGUCCCUAUAUUAGACUCUCGAAGCCCAAAACAUGUAUUAAAAGUAGAACGGUGUUAGAGUAUUAACUACAGGUGGUUAGUAAGUUGGUCAAGUCAGUUAAUAGUUGUUAAAGUAGUUAAUUAGCUAUAUAAAGAUGUAUUCACUCACUCUUCAUUCAAUAUAGUCAUUCUGUUAAUACUAAAACAGUAUUCUUGAGAUAUAAUUCUUGUAUAAUUCAACAUGGUAUCAGAGGUCUAGAGUUCCUGGAUAUUUUUCGUUUCUUUCUUUUGUCUAUUAAUGGAGUUUUCACAGCACUCAGUUCAGUCGACUGCACCAGCCAUGGUUUCUGCUGUUGAUAACUUUGAUACUAGGUUCUUUUCUACUAAAAAGAUUAGUGUGAUUCUUGAUGAUGACAAUUUUCUCUUGUGGCGACAACAAGUCUUGCUUGAGACCAAGACUUACAAACUUCAACGGUUCUUGGAUUCUAGUACUAUUCCACCUCCUGCAACACUUCCGGAUACUGAUGGGAUUCCUCAAGAAAAUUCAGAGUUCAGUCGUUUUGAGCAGCAGGAUAGUGCGCUUGCGUCUUGGCUUUUAUCUUCUGUAAGUACCACUGCCCUUCCACAUCUUAUUGGUAUGGACACAAGCGCCCAAAUCUAGAAUGCAAUUGCGAGUCUUUAUGGCAGCAAGACCACCUCUCGUCUAAUGUUCUUUCGCAGAGCUUUACACUCUCAACGAAAAGGUGAUCUUUCCAUGAAAGAUUUUUUAAUGAAGAUUAAGGGUUUUUGUGACAAUCUAGCUAGUUGCAGUGAGGUCAUUAGUGAACGGAAACAUGUCAUGGCGAUUCUCAACGGGUUGCCACCUGAAUAUGUCUCAGUUAUCACCAUCAUUACUGCCAGUCAUACACCUUAUACUGUUCAAGGGAUCAUGACAAUGUUGAUUGAUGCAGAAGCUCGACAUCAAACAAUGAUUCUAGAGUCUCCUUCCUUAGCUAAUGUGGUUACUCAUCAGCCACCUGGUUCUGCUACCAACAGUGAUCCACCUCUGGUAUAUCGUCCACCAACAGUGUCUCGUGGUCUUGGCCGUGGUAGGUCAUCUGGCUCCCGCAUACAAUGUCAGUUAUGUGGAAAAAUAUGGCACUUAGUUGAUCGGUGCUACCAUCGAUUUGAAUCCUCUUAUAAGAAUACUGGUUAUAGACCUCCUUCCUCUCAGGCGAAUGUUUUUAUGUUUGGACAAAGGGCUCCUUUCUCACCUUGGGUGGGAUCGUCUCCUUCAUCUUAUCUUCAGCCUGGAUGGUUCAUCCCACCUACUUCACCAAUGUCAUGGAAUGCCAAUACUCCACAAUCUGGUUCCACUUCAAAAAUGUCAACUUCUUCUCCACAAGCUUAUAUUGCCAAUCCAGUGACUGAUUGUGAUAAUGCCUGGUACCCCGACUCAGGUGCAACACACCAUCUCACUCAUUCAGCUACAGCUAUUGGUGAGAGUACUCCCUAUAAUGGCCCAGGUAAGAUUUAUGUUGGUAACGGCAGUGCUAUUCCUGUACACUCCACUGGUUAGUCUUCUUUUCUCACUAGAACACGUCCUUUGUAUAUGCGUUCUUUGUUGCAUGUUCCUGGUAUAACGAAAAAUCUGCUUUCAGUCUCGCAAUUUACAAUGGAUAAUCAUGUGAUGUUCGAGUUCUUUCCCACACAGUGUCAAGUACGUGAUCUGCAUACCAAGGAAGUUCUUUUACGUGGCUCAGUGCAUCAUGGCCUCUACAGACUUCAGCUGAAGGACAAUUUUCAGUCGCGUCACUGCUCAGCUCAUGGUUUUACAGCAAGUGUUUCUGUGCCUGUUAAUCUUUGGCACGCUCGACUUGGCCACCCUUGUACAAGUACUCUUACCAAGGCUUUAUCACAUUGUAAUGUACCUUUUGUUCUGAAUAAAGAGUCUUUUGAUUGUGUUGCAUGUCAUCUUGGAAAAGAAAGAAAUCUACCGUUCUCUCAUUCUGCUUCUGAAUAUGUCACUCCUUUGAGUUUAGUGGUUGCUGAUGUUUGGGGUCCAGCACCGAUAUCUUCAAAUGGGUUUCGGUAUUAUGUGGCUUUUACUGAUGCAUGCACCCGAUAUACUUGGGUUUACUUCAUGCGACAAAAGUCUAAAGUUUCAACCAUAUUUCCACAGUUUCUUCGAAAUGGCAGAGAGGUUACUUGGCUUCAAGCUUAAGAUAUUUCAAUCUGAUGGAGGGGGUGAAUUUCACGUAUUAAAAGGAUACUUGUCUCAACAAGGAGUCCUACACAGGUUUACGUGUCCACACACAUCAGCUCAGAAUGGAAUUGUUGAACGCAAGCAUCGACAAAUUGUUGAAGUUGGCUUGUCCAUGCUUGCUCAUGCGUCCAUGCCAUUGAGCUAUUGGAAUGAUGCCUUUGCUAGUGCAAUAUAUCUUAUCAACUGGUUACCCUCAGCUCCCUUAGGCUCCCUCUCACCUUAUGAAAAGUUGUUUCAUAAUAAACCUUGUUAUUUUUCCCUCAAGGUGUUUGGAUGUCUGUGUUUUCCAAACUUGAGACCCUAUAACAAACACAAACUACAGUUUCGAUCCCUCCCUUGUACGUUCCUAGGCUAUUCUUCUUUACACAAAGGAUAUAGAUGCUUAGCUCCAGAUGGAAAGAUCUAUGUGUCUCGACAUGUGACAUUUCAUGAAACCACAUUUCCUUUUCAAACCCUAUGUUCCAAUCCAAAGUCCACUACUGUUCUAUCAGUCAGUAAUAAACUACUUGUUUUAUCUCCAUCUGUCAAAUCAACUAUACCAUCACAGUCGGUUCCCAUCAAUUUCUCACCUAAUCCCACUGUUUCUCCAGAACUUAUACCCGACCCUACCAACAUAAGGUCAACCAAUUCUACAACCAGUUCUCCUGUGUCUAGCACUCACAUUUCUCCUCUGCCGAGCCCUCAACAAUCUCAUUUGUCUAGCUCCACACAUUCACUUCCUCUCAACCCCCAUCCUAUGAUAACUCAGAGUAAAGUAGGCAUCUUCAAGCCAAAGGUGUUUCUGAGUUCAGCUUCUGCACUUUCCUUUGAAACCCCAUCUGAUAUACAUGAGGCCAUGCAACAUGAGCACUGGAAAGAUGCAGUUCACAAUGAGCUUCAAGCACUCCUUUCCAAUGGUACCUGGAGUCUUUGCACGCUUCCGAGCAAUCGCAAGGCCAUUGGAUGCAAAUGGCUUUUUAAAGUAAAAAAGAAGGCCGAUGGGGCUAUAGACAGAUAUAAGGCUCAGUUAGUUGCGAAGGGGUUCUUGCAGCACGCAGGUCUGGAUUUCAGAGACACUUUUAGUCCUGUUGUGCGAGCAGUGACCAUUCAGACAGUUCUAGCUAUUGUAGUAAUGCAAGGGUGGUGUUUAAGACAGGUUGAUGUCAACAAUGCCCUCCUUAAUAGCAAGCUGACUGAAGACAUUUACAUGGACCAGCCACCUGGUUUUGAAGUGCUCAGUACUGCUGAACAGCCUCUUGUUUGUAAGCUAAACAAAGCUCUAUAUGGUCUCCGAAAAGCACCUCGGGCUUGGUUUCACACUCUCAAGCAGUUCCUUGUGGAUUGGCUGGGUUUUCGUGAGUCAAAGGCAGAUCCUUCUUUGUUUAUUCAUAUCUCCUCUAACGACUGCUUGUUUCUUAUGGUAUAUGUGGAUGAUAUUGUGAUAACUAGUAACUCGUCUACUAUCGUUGAUACUGUUGUCAAACAACUCCAUCACAAGUUCGCUCUUAAGGACAUGGGUCAGCUUAAUUAUUUUUGGGCAUUGAGGUUCACCAUAAUGAACAGGGGGUCUUUAUUAGUCAGAAGAAAUAUGUUCUAGAAAUUCUUAAAAAAGCUGAUAUGCUUGGGGCAGCAGUCACGCCUACACCUAUGGUCAGCAUGCCUAAACUUGUCACCACUGAUGGAAGCUCUCCGAUGGUUGACGUUCAUCUAUAUCGCAGUGUGGUUGGUAUGCUCCAGUAUCUUUGUAUCACCAGACCUGAUUUGUCUUUCUGUGUCAAUAAGCUGAGCCAAUUCAUGAAUUCCCCGAGUGAGUUGCAUUGGAAAGCUGUUAAGCGGGUUCUGCACUAUCUGAUUGGAACCAUAGAGCAUGGUCUGAGUUUUUCAAAAGGGCCAUUUCAGUUGGAAUGUUACUGUGAUGCUGACUGGGCUUCAUCUCUGGAAGAUCGUCUGUCCACUACAGGUUACGUAGUGUAUCUUGGUCCAAAUCCAGUUGCAUGGUACUCUAAGAAACAGGCUGUUGUCUCUCGGUCCUCGUCUAAAGCUGAGUAUUGAAGUCUCGCAAAUUGUGUGUCAGAGCUGUUAUGGGUUCGCCAACUGGUAGAGGAACUUGGUAUACAGGUUAGCUUAACUCCAGUGGUCUGGUGUGAUAACACGUCCACGGUUUCCAUGGCAGCAAACCCUAUGCACCAUGCUCGAGUCAAACACGUGGAGAUUGAUCAUCAUUUUGUCCGAGAAAAGGUUCUUGAUGGAUCUCUUCAAGUUAAUUUUGUUCCAUCAGCCAAUCAAAUAGCUGAUGUUCUUACUAAACCAAUUACUUCAAAGCGCUUUGCUGCGUUUCGCAAUGCUCUUAAAGUUCUAUCUACUUCUGACAAAGUUACAGACUUAGAGGAAAACGGGAAGAAUGUUAGAGUAUUAACUACAGGUGGUUAGUAAGUUGGUCAAGUCAGUUAAUAGUUGUUAAAGUAGUUAAUCAGCUAUAUAAAGAUGUAUUCACUCCCUCUUCAUUCAAUAUAGUCAUUCUGUUAAUACUAAAACACUAUUCUUGAGAUAUCAUUCUUGUAUAAUUCAACAAACGGGACUUGCUCGAGUAUUCCGAAAAAUUUUUCGUAAAUUCUUUUUGACAAAAAUUUCGAUAGUAUUUCUGCUUAUUUUUACCUAAAACCCCCUGCAAAUUCAAACCAAAAACAAGCCAAUACCAAUGUUUCAUCCAAAGAAUUUUACAUCUUAAACGCUACUAGAUCAUCCUUAAUCCAUUUAUUUAUUAUUUAAAAUUUAAAGUGUUAACAUAUAAGGAACUAAUUCAUAUCUUUCAUUUCAUUUCAAAAUUUAAUACCAAAUUUACUAAUUUAUAACUUUAAAAUUUCAUAAUUAUCUAAUUACAACAAGAUCAUUUAACCUAUAUAUAUAUAGUAAAUGACUCAUGUACAACCACCUAGUACAUGCCACUUAAACAAAAAGAAGAAAUACAACACCAAAAUUUUCUUGUUGGAGUUGGGAUCUUUUUGGAUGCUGAACUGGAUCUUGAACUCUAAUGACCUAUGCACGGAAACAAUCAUACGCUGAGUAUUUUAUACUCAGUGGUAUUACUAUAAACCAAACUAUUUAACAUUAAUAAAUUACAACAUCAACCAUAAGCUUUAAACUAAUUACACAUAAUUAUAUAUCACUUCAUAAAUCUUAAAUUCAUAUUUCUUUUUCUUUUCUUUUUUUUACAUACUAAUUCAAUUCAUAAUUUAAUUCAUACAUUCUUUCUCGUACUUUUUAGUAGUGCCAAAUCAAUCAAUCUCAUUUUCAAAUUUUCAUUUCAAUUAUUUACCCUAUUAACAAGGCUCGGACUCUGAUAGAUACGCGGAUUCCAUCCAAACACACCAGAAUAUCCAACCCAAACACACCCAGAAUAAUAUAAAUCCUCCAUAACACACCAGUAUAAUAUAGCCUCCUAAACACACCGGUAUAUCAUAUCCUCCCAAAUACACCAAUAAGGCAUUAAAUGUCUCUUCAGUUAAACUGAAGCAUAUAAUAACAGGAUCAUCUUCUCAGUCGAGCUACAAAUCUCCUCAUCACAUCACAAUCCUGUGGCAUGCCAUUUGUAUCCAAUCUAGUCUGACAAGUUUAUAGGGUAUUAUUUUACUUUUCCAAUUUCGAAUUCAUUUUCACAACAAUUUCAAAUAUCCAAUCAAUUCAAAACAUCUAUUAUCUCAAUUCACAUAUAAUUCAAUAUUCACACAUAUUCUUACUUAAUUUCAAAUAUUAUUACUUACCUUAUCUUAGAUGUCCCAUGACUACAAAUUUAAUAUAACAUUUAAUAAAUGGAUUGAGUUAUAGUAAUACAAACCCGGAAUACUCAUUUACUCCUCAACGAUCUUUUCUUUUCCUUUGGAUGCCGAUGCCUCGUUUUCCUUGUUAGCUACGAAAAUAAUAAUAACAAUUUACAUUAUUAAUUACAGCAUUAAUUUAAUAAUUAAUUAAAUUUUUAUUCAAUUUAUUCCUUAAUUCCAAUUUAAUCCUAAUUAACUCUUUUAUUUGUUUAACUUAAUUUAUACUUCAUUUCUACUCAAUUUCCUUCCAUAUUCACCCUAACAAUCUAAUGUUCAUUAUAAACCCUAAUUUAAAAUUUCUUUCAAUUUAAUUUCCUAAAACACAAAACUUAUAGCUUCUUUUACAAUUUAAUCCCUUUUUCAAUUCUAACUUAAAUUUCAUUCAAUUAAAUACCUAAUUCUUCUUUUUGCUCAACAUAACCCAUGCUUAAAAACCUAAGAACUUCCAAAACCUUAAAUUAAUUUCAACAAAAUUUUGUUUUAAAGCUUCUAAAACAUCAAAUUUAAGAGAAAAAUGCUAAAUUUAGCUUACCAAUUAAACUUGAAGCUUUAAAAUCCCAAUUUUCCCUUUUUUUUCUUCUUUUCCUUUUUCUUCCCCUGUUUUCGUUUUGUUCUCUGUUUCUUUUCUGUUCUUCUUUCUUUUACUUUCUUUUUAUUCUAUUUAUUUAUUUAUUUUAGUUAUUUUAUAUUACUUUAAUAUUAAGUAAACAAUUUAUUUUAUAACAAAUGUACCAAUAAUUUUAUUACACUUGUCAUUAUUCAAUUUGUUUUUAAAAAAUCUUAUAAUUUAAUUAUUAUUAUUUACUUAUUAUAUAAGAAAUUAUAUAUAUUUUACACAUGUACCAAUAAUAAUUAUGCACUUGUCUUAUUUCAUAAUAUAAUAUCAAUUUAAUAAUUAUUAAUAUAUAGAAAUAUCUUUUACUUAUUAUUUAAGAAAAUAUACAAAUAUAUAUAUAUUACAUGUGUAUAAAUACACAUAUCACACAUGUACACUUUUAUCAUCAUACAUUUGACACAAAUUUUAAUUUAUUUAUAAUCUAAUAACAAAAUUUUAAAUUAAAUAAUAAUAAUAUUAACAAUAAUAAUUAAUAAAAUCUAAGAAAAAUCUUAGAUUUUUCUAUCCAUUUUGCCGCCUAAAUUAUUACAAAUGGCUUAAUUUCCAUUUUAAUUCCUUUUUCUUUCUAUUGUUUUAGAAUUCAACUUUUAACCUUUACUCAAUCUAGUCAUUUUUACUAAUUACUCUAAAUUAAAUUAGUUUCACCUAAAUAAAACUGAAUUAGACAUAUAACUAGACUCAUAAUUAUUCCUAAUAAUUAUUUACGAACCGGUUUCACUAAUACGGUGGCCCGAUAAUGUACUUUUAUGGUGCCCACGAAUUUUGGGUCAUUACAGAUUUGAUGAAAAUACAUAAUUAGCGAUUAAUUUUCAUCAAACCAACCCUAAAACUCGAAUUAAACACGAAAAAGUUAACAUCAUUAGUUUUGGGUGUCAAAAUAUAUAACUUUUGUCAAAUACAGGUACAUGAUUAAAUCAAAAAAUAACAUAAGUACCACAUUAGAAAAAAAGUGUCAAACUUAAGUACUAGAUUAUGUAUUAAGUCUAAUAGAAUAUUUUAAUUAUUUUACAUUACAUAAAAUAAUAUACAUUUUUAAAUAAAUAAUCUUAUAUCUUUAAAUAAUAAUAAUUAAAUAAACUAAUUAAUAAAAAUAAAUAUAUAAUUAAUGAAAUAAAAAUAAUUAGAAGUAUGUUACAUAAGAAACUAGUUAAGCAUGUAAAGCACAAUUAGUUAAUACUUUAUAAUUAUAAAGUAAAUAUGAUAAUCUAAAACACAAGCCGUCCAACACAUAUAAUUAUUGUAGGCUCCAUUUUGUCGACUCUUUCUUGGAUUCUUCCUAGAGACAACAUCAAUCACUCAUCUAUCAUCCCUCAAUUUCCAAACCUACGCAUUUUCGUUUGGAAGAAAAAAAAAGGAAAUGUAUAGAGAAAUUGCUUACAAUAAUCUUCGUUGUUCCCUUGAAAUUUGAUCCGUUUUUCUCCUUCUUCAUGUAGGAUUGUAGAUUAGGUGAUACUUAUAUCAUUAAAAGAGACAAGUUUAGUCUUGAUUAAUGCCCCAACAUUGAUUUUAAGAUUAAGAAAAUGAAAAAAAAAAUCACUAUGCUUCAGUAGUGAAGAAUCUAAUGUAUGCUCAUGUUUAAAUCUGCAAAAAUAUUGCUUACAUUUUUCAAAUAUUGGAUAGAUGUUUGAGAAAUUUGAGUAUGGAUGAUCCAAUCAUGGGAAAGUAGCUGGGUGAUUCAUACCAUAUCUUCAAAAUUAAAACAUUACAUGCUCACGUAUCAGAUAUCUGAUAAGUUAAAAAUCAUCAAGUAUACAAACUUUAAUUUUGUUGAAAUAUAAAUACAAAAUUUUGCCAUGUGACAAUAGAUACCAAUAGUCAAAGCAAUUGACGACUAAAAUUAUUAUUAUGCCAAUAAAAAAAAGUGUUACUUAAUAGUUAGGUGAUAAAAAAAUAAUUUCAAAAAGUUUAGUGACCAAAUUGUAACUUUCUUUAGUUAAGUGACCAAAACGAAAACUUACUAUAAUUUAGUUGCUAAUAGUGUAGGGACUAAAUUUUAAAUUUAUAAAAAAUACAGGGACUUGAGGUUGUUAACAAUUAUGUUAAGUAGUUAUUAUUUUGAAUAAUAUUACUUUGCAUUAACUACAUAAAGGAAAACUAUAUCGUAUGUUAAAUAUUUAAAAAAUGAUUUAAUUAUUAUUUAAAAUUUUUUUAUUAUAAUAUUUAAAUUGAUAAGUUAAUAUAUUUUAUUUAUAUUUAAUAAUUUAAAUAAAAAUAUUAUUUUAUACUAAUUACUUCAAUUAAAAGUAUAAUAUCUAAAAAUUUUAAUUAAUAUUAAUAAAAUCACAAUGUAUUAGAAGCAAUUAAUUAUAAAAAUAGAUAUGAUAAUGUAAAGAAAAACAGUAAAACACAAACCGUCCAACACUUAUUACUCAUUAAUGAUUAUAGGCUCCAUUUUGUCAACUCUCACCUUCUUAGAGUCUUCCUGGAAAGAGCAUCUAUAACUCCAAAUUUCCACACCUACUCCCUUCCAUAGCUAUUAUUAUACUGAUAGAUUCAUUUCGGAAAUUAAAACAGAAAUUUCUUACAUAAGUCCUUUGUUUUUCCCUCGAAUUUUCAUCUGUUUUUCUCCUUUCUCAUGCUCAUAUACUUAUUGUUUCUACUUUGUUUCUGAGGUAUUGAGCCGUCUAUUUUCUGUUUUGAACAUUACAUCCACAUAUUUUUUCUUCUCAUACAUCCUCAUGUCGUUAUUACUUUCGACUUCCUCAUCCAUUUCUAGAAAGAAGUACGAUGUGUUCUUGAGUUUUAGAGGUGAAGAUACCCGCAAGAGCUUUACGGAUCAUCUCUACGAUGCUCUAAAUAGAACUGGGAUCGUCACUUUUAGAGAUGAUCCAAAGUUGGAGGCUGGUGAAGAGAUCGCACCGGAACUCUUGAAAGCAAUUCAGCAAUCAUGGUGCUCGGUAAUCGUUUUUUCCGAGACCUAUGCCCUUUCUGGUUGGUGCUUGGAGGAGCUUGCGGAGAUUGUUAAACAAAAAAAAGGCAAGACUCAUAAAGUAUUUCCAAUUUUCUACCAUGUGGAUCCAUCCGAUUUAAGAAAACAAAAAGGAAAAGUUGAAGAAGCCUUUGCCAAACAGGAAGAAAGAUACAAGGAAGAUAAAGACAAGAUCCAAAAGUGGCGAAAUGCUUUGACUGAAGUGGCUAACAUCUCGGGAUGGCAUUUAAAUAAUAGGUAUUUCUUUCUUUUCUUCUCUAUUUCCUAAUUUUAAUGACUACAAAAUUGUGUUUUUAUUGCAUCUUAUUUUUUAUAAUUUUGUUUUUAAUUAAGAAUUCCCAUAUUUCAACUAACAAGCAAGUUGUGUAUUUUGAUGCUAUAAUAUAUCUUACUGUCUUAUUCUUGCUUUUUGUUUGCUUCCAACCAUAUUAUACUUCAUGAUUCACUGAACUAAAAAUGAAAGAGUGCAUAUCGGAAUUUAAUUUCUUUGUAGGCACGAAUCAGAGUUUAUUGGAGACGUUGUUAAGAAGAUAUCAGCAAAAUUAUGUCAGACAUAUCCUGUUGUUCAUGAUGAGUUGGUUGGAAUUAGUUUACGUUUGGAGGAGUUGUAUUCGAAAAUAAACAUUGGGGAAGACUAUGUCCGCAUUAUAGGAAUUUGCGGAAUGGGUGGCAUAGGUAAAACAACUCUUACAAAAGUUGCUUACACUCAAAUGUUACCUCAUUUUGAAGGUAAAUGUUUUCUUGCUAAUAUUCGAGAAGUUUCAAACAAACAUGGACUUGUUUCUUUACAGAAACAACUUCUUUCUCAAAUCUUUCCGGAUGAACGCUUCAAUUUUUUCAAUGUUCAUGAAGGGAAUGCCAUAAUUAGCCGCAAGUUGUCUAGAAAAAAGGUUCUUAUGAUUGUUGAUGAUGUUGAUAACGUACAACACUUGAAAUGCUUGGUUGGAAGGCGUGAUUGGUUUAGUUUAGGGUUGUAGGAUCAUUGUAACAACAAGAGAUGAACAUUUGCUCCGAUCUUAUCGAAUUAGUGAUGUAUAUAAGCCUACAACAUUGAAUCCGGACGAUGCACUUAGGCUUUUCAAUUUGAAAGCUUUUGAUAGUGACACAAUGCCGAAAUAUGGUAUUAUUGAGCUUUCUAAACAUGUUAUACAUUAUGUUGAUGGUCUCCCCUUAGCUCUUGAAGUUUUGGGUUCAUUUUUGUGCGGUAGAGAUAUAGUUGAAUGGAUAAGUGCAAUCAAAAGACUUGAACAAGAUUCUAACAAAGAAAUUCUUGACACACUAAGAAUUAGCUUUGAUGGAUUGGAAGAAAGGGAGAAGAAUAUUUUUCUAGAUAUAGCAUGCUUUUUCAAUGGGGAGGAGAAAGAUUUGGUAAUGAAAGUAUUGGAUGGUUGUGAGUUUUUUCCCGAUAUUGGAAUCGAUGUUCUCAUUAAGAAAUCUCUCAUAAAAGUCAGUGAUGACAACCGAUAUUUGCAUAUGCAUACCUUGGUGCAAGAAAUGGGAAGAAAAAUUGUUGAAGAAAGAUGUAUUAAUGAACUUAGAAAACGUUGUAGAUUGUGGAAGGAAAGAGAUGUCCAUCAUGUCCUAACAAAAAACACGGUAAACUAUUCAACAAAAAUUACAUACAAAAUUGUUAUUGAAUUACUCUGGUUAAAAAAUAUUUUAUUUAGUAUAUUUCAACCAAAAGAAUGUGAUAAUGUUGAACAUGUGCAUAAAUUUUCAAAAGUUUUAUUACAUAAUUUAUUUUGUUUUCUUAUUGUCUAUUCUUGAUUAUUUUUAGGCUACCGAAGUUAUUGAAGGUAUGAUCAUCAACAAUAAAAGGUAAGAAAACAUACAUAUAAAAUUGUCAAUAUGUACUAUUAAUAUUGUUAUUAUUUUUUUGUAAAAAAUCCAAUAAAAAUGACAAAAAAAACCCUUUUGGCGUUGCUUGAUAGAGUGGAAAGAAAAUUAAAAGGAUGAAAAACUAAAGAGAUAGAAAACUAGAUAGAGUGGAAAGAUGGAAAAUAUAUUUCUCUCCUCACUGUUGCUUGGUAUAGCGAGAAGUGGGAAGGUAAGAAAAUAAACCAUUUGAAUAUAAAAUUUAGAAGGUUUGAUUUUUAUGCAUUAUAAUAGAAAUUGAUUUAUUAUAUUAUUUUUCUUACUUUUCUUUCUGACUAAAACAUAGUUAAAAUUUAUUUUCUUUUCACUUUUCCACUCAACGAAAUUCCCCCUUAGUUCCUAAUUUUUAGAUAUAUUAACAAUAUAUGUCAAUGAACUAGGUUAUAAAAUGUCGUUAAAAGUUUUCAAAAAUAAAUCCAAGUGAUGUCAUCAUUUGGUUCAUGAUAAUGCAUAGAAUUACACGUUAAUGCACCAAACAUGAAUCAAAAUAUUAGUUCUAGUUUUUUUAGGCUUAGGUAACUAAAAUUCUAAUGAAGUAUUAGAUAGAGUGUUGUCUAAUAUUUUCAAUGAUAUCUCAAUACCAUAUUCGGCUAUGCACAAGAUAUAAGUAUUUGAUACAACUACUUAAAAAAAACAAUAUUGAUGCAACAUAACUUUUAGAUAUUUAAUGUUUUUGUAUAUUUUGAAGUUUGUUAUUGUUUUGCUCAUGGUUAUUAGGGAACUGAGUAAGAUACUCAAUUUGAGUGCCGAUACAUUCUCAAAGAUGAAAAAUUUGAGAUUGCUCAAAGUGCUUUCCCUAUCAAAUUGUGAUGAUCUCAAAUAUCUUUCUAAUGAACUACGGCUUUUAGAUUGGAAAGGGUGUCCUUUAAGAUACUUGCCUUCAAGCUUCCAACCAAACAACCUUGUCGCACUUCUUUUACCAUAUAGUCACAUUGAACAACUAUGGAAGGGAAAUAGAGUAAGAAUUAACUCAUCGUUUUAGCUUAUUUUAAUACAAAUAAUUAAACUUUGAUUAAGGUAAAGAAAAUAAAAAUUAGCACUAUUCUGUUUUCUGUCUAAAUUAUUAUUGUCUUCAACAGCCAUUGUAUAAGUUGAAAAUGAUCGACCUUAAAGGGUCCCAAAACCUGAUCAAGACACCAGACUUCACAACAGCACCAAAACUUGAAGCUUUGAUUAUGGAAGGUUGUAUCAGAUUAGUAAAUGUCCAUCCAUCAAUCGAAGUGCUUAAGAUGCUUAAACUUUUGAAUUUAAGAGACUGCAAAAGUCUUAGGAAUCUUCCAACCAGAAUUGGAAUGGAAUCUCUUGAAACAUGUUACAGCUUGUUUGGUUUGGUGUAUUGGCUAUGCCAAUACACCUCUAAUCGGUGGGCCCCACCUAAUACCUCUCUAAUCCGCCAUUUGGUUCAGCGUAUUGCUAAUACGCGUGUAUUCCGUUACUUUCCUAAUCGGUGAAAAGCACCGAUUUCUAUUCCCCCCCUUUUGCCCAGAUUAGGUGACGCUUCAGCAAACCCUCCCUCUUUUACCCUCCCCCGAUCCCCUUUGUUUCUCUUCUGUUUUCCACCUUCAUCCGAUUUGCUUCCUUGUUUCAUUGCUUUUCUUUUCUGCCGAUUUGGUCCCAGUUUAUUUUCUUGCCUUUUCCUUUGUUUUCUUUCGUUUUCCCUCUCUUUCUCUCUAUUUUCUUUCAUAAUACUUGGAGCGUAAAAAGAAAAAAUACUGUAAUUACUUUCUAGACGAUAACUAGAGAGAGUGAAGCCAAGAACUUUCUGGAAUUUUUAAUCUAACCUUCUUCUUUUUUUGUUUUAGUUCAGAGAGAGUGUUUUUGAAUUUCAUCGUUUGUUAAUUUCUUCUUUAGUUUCCUUUUUUUUUGCUACUUGAUUCGGUUAACGAUCAAUAUGUGAGAUUUAGCUCUUUGAUAGUCGGAAUUAGAAUGAUGGAGCGGUUAAUCUCCGUUUGUUUACAGUUGAUUUUGGUGUUGGAUUUGGUUUUCAGAGUUUCAGGAAAUGCGGAAGGUUCGUCAUGAUUAUUUCCUCUUAUUUUCUUGUUUGAACUUUGAACUUUGCAAAUGGAAUUAUUGUUAAAUUUAAUGUAUAUGAUUCAAAUUAGAUGAAUUUAGUAGCUAUUGGAUUGGUUUAGCAGUGGCAUAAGGUUGACUGUUUGUUUUAAAUUUCAAUUAGCUUUGGUGCUGUAAUUGGCUUGACUGGAGAGAUACUUGCACGCUUACUAAUUUAUGCGAAAGUUUUCGAUACAAUUUUACGUUCUAAUUCUCGAUAUCCAGUUUGGUUAAAUUAACCAAUGCGUUGUCUUCAUCCAUGUCUGAUGUCGUCUUGAACCCUGUUUGUUGUUUUGAAUCUUUCAAGUUAUAGUGGAGCUUUAGCGCUUUACAGUAUUUUAAAUGUUUUCAUGAUAUGAUUUUAACUUCUUUGUUGUUAUCUGUUUAUGUGAUGAAAUAAAUCUUCUUUACAGUAUUUUAAAUGGUGCAGGAUGUUGUAUUAUGCCAUGCAGGGAUCUUUCAAACAAUAAGCUAGAAGGAGAUAUUCCAGUUAAUGGUUCCUUUUCACUCUUCACUCCCAUCAGGUUUUUCUCUUAUGCUAUUUCAUGUUUCUCUCACCCUAACUUCUGAUCCUCGUCGCCACUGUUUUAUCAUAUCUGUACUCUUAGGCUAGCCUCUUGAAUUGCUGCUUCUUUUGUUCACAGUUUUGCUAAUAAUCGGUUGAAUAAUCCUCCACCUGCUCUGCCGCCUCCUAUCACACCUACGGCUCCAAUUCCAUCAGGUUUGUUCUCGAUUUUAUUAUUAUUAUUAAUUAUUAUUAGCUUUUAAUUGUGCUUAACUUUGAGGCCUGCUUCACUUUUAUUUGUAUUUAUAUAGAUAUUUGAUUGGGAGUUGAGAUAUUCCUUUGUAUUUUUCUUUGCAUUUGCCAAUUUUUUGGUAUAUUGCUGAUCCUGAGCUUUUUUACAUCUGGGUCUGUUUUUUAAGAAGGUGCCUUUGAGCUCAGAUCUAAAAUCUGAUUAUAAUAUUGCCUAAGAUGGCUUUAGGUUCCUGUUUAAGAGGUACUGGCUGUUUUCUCCUCGUUUAUUUCUUUAGUCUCAUGUUUCACAUUUGUGCUAUGCUCUCUGUAUUUGGUGCGCCAUUUAUCAUAUGUAUGUUCUUCAGGUUGCCAAUUUUUUUCUGACUGUUAAUUAUUAAAUCUAUUGUUAGCCUCAAUUAUCAAAUAUCUUCUCUUUUGCUUCUUCAGUUUGAGAUGAUAUUCUGAGCUACUGAUCACCUACUGGAAACUUGUAUUAUAACAUUUGUUAUUUUUAAAUUCAUGUGCUUGGUGAAUGUGGAUUGUCUUUGAAUCGAAGUGGAAUUGUUAGAAAUUCGUGGAUGCCAAAUACUUUUUGAACUCUUGUUACAAUGGACCAUCUAUUGAUCUGAUUUUUACAUUGUCUAGAACGUCUGGAAUCUCAAGCACCACUUGAUUGGGCUGUAAGGAAACGGAUUGCAUUAGGAGCUGCAAGGGGGCUUGCAUAUUUUCAUGAUCAUUGUGACCCUAAGAUUAUACACCGUGAUGUAAAGGCUGCAAAUAUAUUGUUGGAUGAGGAAUUUGAAGUAGUUGUCGGAGACUUUGGGUUGGCCAAAUUAAUGGACUACAAAGAUACGUACGUCACAACUGCUGUUCGUGGCACAAUUGGUCACAUAGCUCCUGAAUACCUAUCAACUGGAAAGUCAUUAGAGAAAACUGAUGUUUUUGGCUACGGUGUCAUGCUUCUUGAACUCAUUACAAGACAGAGGGCUUUCGAUCUAGCUCGGCUUGCAAAUGAUGAUGAUGUCAUGCAGCCAUUACCUCUCAGAGAUGCACAAGACCUCAUUAGAUUCUUGCAUCAGCCAGUUUAUCACAGUCAGAGAUUUAAAUUGUGGCUUAGCUAUUUUGAGAUAUAUGGUGGAAAACUCUUUGACCUUUUGAGUGAUAGAAAGUAAUUCCCUUUUCUUUCCUUGAUUAUUUAUUUAUGCAUGUCCAUGUGUGUUAUAAAUCAAUUUCUUUCUUAAAAGAACUUGAUUGAGUAUGAUGUGUAAUAAAUUUUAAUUAUCUUCUGGUUUGACCUUCUGUUAUGUAUCAAGCCAUUUGCCCUUCACACAUUCUCUCUUUCAAUAUGUAUUCUGGUAUAAAUGUGCAUGCACAUACAUAUUCGAAUUUUUUAAAAUUGGAACAUUAGAUAUAAUCAAGUAAAGAACUUGAUUAAAAAACAAAUAUUCAAUAUAUUAAAAUUUGAUCUGUAGAUAUAAUACAAUGAAUAAAUUGUAAGGUGAUUAAAAUUGAAUGAAUAAAUUAGAAAAAUUUUAUUAAAAAUAAAACUAAUUAAAUGUGUAUAUUCAUAUACACUGCAUUAAUUAAAAAUAUUUUUAAAUAAUUAAAAUAAAAAAUAUUAUUUUAAUAAUAUUACAUAUAUAUCGACUUUUGAACCAGUGGCAACUACUUCAGUACAAAAUAAAAAAGGUAAUUAAUAAGCAGGCUCAUUCAUAAUUUUUUCCCCACAGAAUGAAUGAUGUUAUUUGCAAACAAAAGCUGUCCUCAAAAAUCUUCUCCCAAAUUUUUUUUGCCAUUGAUAUAAAUAUAAACUGGUUAAUGUGGUAUAUUAAUAUAUAAAAGGAAAUGAGUAUAUAAAUUCAUAUAAGAAUAUUGAUUAUUAAGAAUUUUAUUAAAUUAUAUAUUUUAAUUAUAAUAUAUUUAAUAAUAAUUAUGUUAAAAUAUGAUUAAAUUAUUUAUUAUUGAUAUUAAUAAUCUUAUUAAAAUUUAAUAACAAUAACAAUAAUUAUUUACCUAAACCAAUUUAUGCUAAGGGUAUUCUAGUCAUUUUAGUUUUUUCCAUUAUGCUAUUACACCUCUAUUCCAUUCAACCAAACACAAGAUUACUAUUACGCCUCUAUUCCAUUACAUUCAACCAAACAGUUGAUUUGCUAUUACACCUCUAUUCCAAUACACCUCUAAUCCAAUACACCUCUAUUCCAAUACACCUCUAAUCCAAUACAGCGAACCAAACGUGCCAUAAUUCUUUCAGGUUGCUCAAAUCUUGUAAGGUUUCCGGAGAUUGAUGGGAAAAUAAAACAUCUAAAAACUCUUGAUCUUUCUAGUUGUUAUAAAAUUGAAUAUUUGCCAGUGAACUUGCAGCAAAUAGAGUUUUUGGAAAAGCUUGACUUGAGUGAAACAAGCAUAACAGAGCCACCAUCCUUCAUUUUUCAUUUGAAAAAUCUUAAAAUUCUAUCUUUCAAUGGGCGCAAGGGACCAUCGUAUAAGUCACGACCAAAUUUGCCUUCUCUUUUCAAGGUAAUCCCAGGAAGAAGGACGAAUCCCAUGGCUCGGAUGUUGCCUUUGUUGUCAGGUUUGAGUUCAUUAAGAAGCCUAAAUCUAAGGGACUGCAAUCUUUGUGAAGGAGAUAUUCCACGUGAUUUUUCUGGUCUAUCCUGUUUGAUGAUUCUUGAUCUUAGUGGUAACAAUUUCAUCAGCAUACCUGCAUCUCUUACUCGGCUCUCGAAGCUUUGGUUUCUUGAUUUGUCAAAUUGCAACAUGUGCACUCUUGGUGAAGCAGAUAUUCAUGGUCUAUCCUCUUUGAGUCAUCUUUAUCUUAAGGGUAACAAUUUCAUCACCAUUCCUUUGGCUCUUACUCAACUUAGCAGGCUUAAAUCGCUUGAAUUAUCAUACUGCACAGAGCUUAAAUCCUUGCCUGAGCUUCUAACAACUAUAGCAGAUGUGAUUAUAGAUGGUUGUGCUUCACUUGAAUUAGUUGCAAGUCCAUCAAAAGUAUGCAACUUAGUGGAUGAGGCUCUCGUUUAUGCCAUUAACUGCUUCAAAUUGGCUGAGAAUAUCAAUGCAUUAACACUGCUCAGAAAACAUCUUAAGGUCGACUAAUCUAUUUUCUCCCUUACAAAAUGUCAUACUUGAGAAUUUAUGGUUUUAGUUACCAAACGACUUGUGUUUUAUUUUGCAGGCUUUUGCAAAUUCAAGAAAAAUGUUUGCUAUUCUUAUGCCCGGAAGUGACAUCCCAGAAUGGUUUAGCCACCAAAAAAGUGACUCUUUCAAUUAAGAUACCCCUUCCGAAAGAUAGUCAAUGGAUUGGAGUUGCUUCUUGCUGCAUUUUUGUCAAUAAUGAUUCUUCAAGAGAUUACGAGAUUAUCAGUUGUUGUGCAUGUAUCAAUUUCAGAAAUUCUGAACAAGCCAGCCGUGAUGGAUCUAUUUUUCGAGGUAGAAAUCGUAGAAUGAUUGGUGGGACAGGCUGGCAGGUGGGGCCCAUAAUAAAAGAUGACCUUUUUCUUCAUUAUUGGUCGCGUGAUCAACUAUAUCCAAUUUCCAUGGAGUAUAAAUAUGGUCAUUGUGAAACCAAUAAUUUACGGGCAACAGAUUGCUUAGAUCAUAAAUGCGAUGAGCUUGAGCUGUCUUUCUCAGACCUAGAUGUUGAAGACAAUGCUAAGGUGAAGAAGUGUGGUGUUAGAAUAGUGUAUGAGAAAGAUUUGGAAGAAAUAAAAGAGUUGCAGUGCCAUACCACUCAAUUUUCUCCAAAUUUUGAACACACCCACCAACACUCUAUUCACAACGAUGGAUCAGUAGAUAACACUUCUCACAUAAAACGAAAAGCUAAUAUCUACGAUGAAGCGGAGGAAGAAGGGCCGCAACCGAAACGGAUGCAGAAGUUUUUCAAUUUUAUAAUGGGCCAACCGGGGAAGAAGCAUUAACUGUGGUAAACUACUUAACCAACCUCCUAUUGAUUUUUUUUUGUUUUACACAUUUAUAUUGUUUGUAUUUUUAAUUUCAUUUAAAGUAAUAUUCUAAAUUUAUUUAGGAACGAGAUACGAUCCUUCCAUUAUAUAUCCAAAAGUUUUAAAAUUUUUAUUCAUACUCAUAUUGAACAUGAGCACAUAUUCUAUGCAUAUCGCAAAUGUUGAUAACAUAAAUUUUUAUACCAUUUAAAAUUUUAGUCACUUAAUUCAUUCAUUCAUAGUUGAAAUGUGUACAUUUAUAUUAGUUUAUUUUUUAUUAAAUUUUUAUUUUCAUAUUAUAUAUAUAUAUAUUCACUUACAUCUAUUUUUUAUUUAUAAGUAGAAGUAAAUAUAAUCAAUUUGAGACACAAAUGUGGAGAAAAAAGAAUAUCUUCCACGACAAAGCACGUAAUCAAAAUGUGAAAAUCCUCUAAUGAGAAUUAGAUCAUAAUUUCACUUGAGUUAAUAACUAUCAUUUUUAUUUGAGAUUAAUUUAUGUGUUCAAUUUAAUCGGUCAAAAUUAUUUUUCUAUAUUUGAAAGAUUAAAUAUAAGUCUUUAAUUAGUACUUAAAUAGGUUUAAUUCCUUUUAAUAAAAGUACCAUUUAAAUUUCAUGGCUUGAAGUACAAAUAAUAUUAUUUCAACUCUUCAAUUUAUAUUUUUUACAAAGUAUUUAUGUUUAGACAUUUAUUUUUAACACUUAUUCAAAUAUGAAUAUAAAGUAUAUUCUUUUAAUUAAUUGGAAAAUCUUUUCUGUGUGAGAAACAUAUUCAUAUCCAAUAUAUUUUUUAAAAUUCAAUAGAUUCAUUUUUGUUCUUGUUUAAAGUGAGCAAGAUUUUCAACGAUUAUGUUUUCCGUGAUAUUAACAAAAAAUUCUCUAUUUGAAGUAAAUUAAUAUACCAGUGAUACAGAUUAUCCCAAUGCAACAAAAAUAAUCUUGGUCUUUUAUGUUUAUCCCUUAGACCGAUAAAAACAUGAAAGUCUGCUCAAAGGAUCGUGCAAGUGAAGGACCAGCAAAGAUUAUCAGGUUGAAAUGGAAGCAGACACUUACAUAAUUAUAUGCUCGGAUUAAUUUUGAGAAUUUUCAGAGGAGUCAAAAUUAAAUUACAAUUUUUACAAUAGUAAAAAUAUAACUUAACUAUUUUAAUAACUUAUAUCUUUAUAAAUUUUUAAUGAUUGAAUCAAAUUUUUAUCAAUUUUUGGGAGAUUAAAGUAUAAUUUCACCUUUACUAAUUUAAAAUUUUAAAUAUUAAAAAAAGUCUAAAAAUGUAAAUUUUAAGGAGAUUAUAUGGUCGGAUGAAUUUUGAGAAUUAAAAUUGGAUAGAGAUUAUGUUAAUAUAUAAUUAGAUGUUUUUUUUUUACAUAUAAUGUAAUGUAAAUUAUAUUAUAUUAUUUUAAAUGAAAUUUUUUCAAUUUGUUAUUUGUAAAAUGUAAAUUAAAAUAGUAAUCUAAUUGUAAUGUCAAUAAAACCUUUUAAACUAGGCAGGUUCUUAGAGUUUAUAAAUUUUAACAAUUUGACCCUUAUUUUUUUUCUUUUCAACAAUUUAACCCUCAAAAUUUUAUUUUGAGUCAAAUUAUGAUUUUUUUAUAGCAAAUGUCCAUUAAACCAAUAAUUUAAUGAUAUUAACGUGAGAUGAAUAAUGAAUUCAUUUUAAUUCAACAUUAAACUUUUCAAGUAUCAUCUCAUUUGGACCAUCUUUUCCUCUAACUUGAAUAGAGGAUAGAUUGAAGGAAAUUCCAUUUGAUUGGUGCGCAAUUUUCCUCUGACUUGAUUAGAAUGAUAUUAUCAAAUGUUCUGACUUGAUUAGAAUGAAAUUAUGAAAUGUUCACUCUCGUAACCAUUUUUUGGAAAAACGGGAAUCGACUUAGAUUUUAAAAAAUGAAAACGAAAAACGGGAGUCGCCACCAAUCUUUUUUGAUGAGGUGUGAUCGGAUCAUCUUAAAUUAAUCAUUUUAAUAAAAGUCAAGAUUUACUAAAACGAUAAUUUUGGGUCUACGAAAAAUCAGAAAACGAGUUUGGGAGUCGGUUACGCACGAGGAAGGAUUAGCACCCUCGAUACGCCCAAAAUUGGUACCUAGUUGAUUAAUUAAUGUCUUAGUGUCGAAGAUUUGAAAACUUGAAAGAAUUUAAAAUACGAUCCCUCUUUAUAUUAACGCUAAAAAUGAUUAAAUAAAUUAAAACGGAUGUUAAGGACUCUCUCAUCUCGAAGUAAUAAAAUAUCAUGCCCAGUAAGUUAGAACACGACACCUCAAACUUUGAGACUGAGCUUGCCUUUUAUUUAAAAUUAAUGUAUUUUAACUCCUUUUAAAAAGGAUAUUCGGUUAAUGAGGGUGAACGAGGAAAAUUGAAACCCAGUAAGUUAGGGCACGUUUCCUCGAAUUCCCGAACACCGAAUAUUGCCUUUAUUUGCUAAAAAUCUUAUUUCGAGGUAACAGAAUGUCAUACCCGGUAAGUUAGGGCACCACACCUCGUAUCUCCGAAAAAAAGCAUUUUUAAAACUCGUAUUGUGGUUUAAAAGAAUAUUCUGUUAUUUUGGUUAAACGAGAAAAAUCGAAACCCAGUAAGUUAGGGCACGAUUUUCUCGAAAUUCCAAAUACGGAGUAUUGCCUUUAUAAAAGAAGUAAUUUUGGUUGGAUAAAACAAAAAUUCGUAAUAAAACGAGAUAAUAGAGAAUGCAUGAGCAAAUAAAAAAUUUUAGUAUUGAUGGGCAUAACAUAAACACGAAUGUGAACGAUAGCAAUGAUUAGAGCACAAAUAAAUGAAUAAAAAGAAUAAAAAGAAAAUAACGAACAAGCUAGGAAAUAUUCGAAAUUAGAAAGAACUAGUAAUAAAUAAACAAUCAUUAUGUAAAACCAACGAGUGAUAGUAUAGUAAUGAUGAUAACAAUAUUAAUAAUAGUAAUAAUACAAAUAAUAAUUUUGGAAUGAUGUAUGAAAGUGUAUAUAUGUAUGUGUAUAUAUAAAUAAGUAAAUAAUAUAUAAAGUGAGUGAAGAAUAAAAAAUAAAAUAAGUGUAUUUAAAGAGUAAUGGAUAAAAAUAUAAUAAUAAUACAAUGGCAGUAAUAAUGAUAAUAAUAAAGUCUUAGAAAUCUUAAGAUGCUUAAACUUUUGAAUUUAAGAGACUGCAAAAGUCUUAGAAAUCUUCCAACCAGAAUUGGAAUGGAAUCUCUUGAAACAUUAAUUCUUUCGGGUUGCUCAAGUCUUGUAAGGUUUCCGGAGAUUGAUGGGAGGAUGGAACAUCUAAAAACUCUUGACCUUUCUAGUUGUUAUAAAAUUAAGUAUUUGCCAGUGAAUUCGCAACAAGUAGAGUUUUUGGAAGAGCUUGACUUGAGUGAAACAAGCAUAACAGAGCCACCAUCCUUCCUUUCUCAAUUGAAACAUCUUGAAAGGCUAUCUUUCAAGGGGUGCAAGGGACCAUCAUAUAAGUCACGACCAAAUUUGCCUUCUCUUUUCAAGGUAAUCCAAGGAAGAAGGACGAAUCCCAUGGCUCGGAUGUUGCCUUGGUUGUCAGUUUUGAGUUCAUUAAGAAUCCUAAAACUAAGGGACUGCAAUCUUUGUGAAGGAGAUAUUCCACUUGAUUUUUCUGGUCUAUCCUGUUUGAUGAAUCUUGAUCUUAGUGGUAACAAUUUCAUCAGCAUACCUGCAUCUCUUACUCGACUCUCAAAGCUUGAGUUCCUUCGCUUCUCAAAUUGCAACAUGUGCAGUCUUGGGGAAGCAGAUAUUCACGGUCUAUCCUCUUUGAUAUCGCUUGAUCUUAGUGGUAACAAUUUCAUCACCAUCCCUUUGGCUCUUACUCAACUUAGCAGGCUUGUAUCGCUUUGCUUAUCAAAUUGCAAGAUGCUUAAAUUCUUGCCUGAGCUUCUAACAACUAUACGAUAUGUGAGUAUAGAUGGUUGUGCUUCACUUGAAGUAGCUGCAAGUCCAUCAAAAGUAUGCAACUUAGUGGAUGAGGCUCACGUUUAUGCCAUUAACUGCUUCAAAUUGGCUGAGAAUAUCAAUGCAUUAACACUGCUGAGAAAACAUCUUAAGGUCGACUAAUCUCUAUUUUCUCCCUUACAAAAUCUCAUACUUGAGAAUUUAUGGUUUUAGUUACCAAACGACUUGUGUUUUAUUUUGCAGGCUUGUGCAAAUUCAAGAAAAGAGUUUGCUAUUUUUAUGCCCGGAAGUGACAUCCCAGAAUGGUUUAGCCAACAAAAAAGUGACUCUUCAAUUAAGAUACCCCUUCCGAAAGAUAGUCAAUGGAUUGGAGUUGCUUCUUGCUGCAUUUUUAUCAACAAUGAUUCUUCAAGAGAUGACGAGAGUAUCAGCAGUUGUGCAUAUAUCAAUUUCAGAAAUUCUGAACAAGCCAGCCGUGAUGGAUCUAUUUUUCGAGGUAGAAAUCGUAGAAUGAUUAGUGGGACGACAGGCUGGGUGGUGAGGCCCUUAAUGAAAGAUCACCUUUUUCUUCAUUAUUGGUCGCGUGAUAAACUAUAUCCAAUUUACAUGGAGUAUAAAUAUGGUCAUUGUGAAACCAAUAAUUUACGGGCAACAGAUUGCUUAGAUCAUAAAUGCGAUGAGCUUGAGCUGUCUUUCUCAGACCUAGAUGUUGAAGACAAUGCUAAGGUGAAGAAGUGUGGUGUUAGAAUAGUGUAUGAGGAAGAUUUGGAAGAAAUAAAAGAGUUGCAGUGCCAUACCACUCCAUCUUCUCACAUCCACCAACACUCUGCUCACAACCAUGGAUCAGUAGAUAGCGCUUCUCACAUAAAACGAAAAGCUAGUAACGCAGCGGAGGAAGAAGGGCCGCAACCAAAACGGAUGCAGAAAAUUUUCAAUUUUAUAAUGGGCCAAUCGGGGGAGAAGCAUUAAGUGUGGUACACUACUUAACCAACCUCCUGUUGAUUUGUUUUUCUAUAAAUCUAUCUUGUUUGUAUUUUUUAUUCCAUUUAAAGUAAUCAUUCUAAAUUUAUUUACAAAAGAGAUAUGAUCCUUUCAUUAUAUAUCAAAAAGUUUUAAAUUUUUUAUUCAUACUCACAUUAAGCAUGAGCUCAUAUUGCGAAUAUUGAUAAUAUAGGUUUUUAUACUAUUUAAAAUUUUAAUUACUUAUAAUUAAAAUGUGUACAUUUAUAUUAGUUUCAUUCUUUUAUUAAAUUUUUAUUUUCAUUAUAUAUAUAUAUAUUCACUUACAUCUAUAUUUUAUUUCUAAGUUGAAGUAAAUAUAAUCAAUUUGAGACACAAAUGUGGAGAAAAAAAAAUAUCAUCCAUGACAAAGCACGUAAUAAAAAUGUGAAAAUCCUCUAAUGAGGAUUAGAUCAUAAUUUCACUUGAGUUAAAAACCAACAUUUUUAUUUGAGAUCAAUUUAUGUGUUCAAUUUAAUCAGUUAAAAUUAUUUUUAUAUAUUUGAAAGAUUAAAUAUAAGUCCUUAAUAGUACUUAAAUAGGUUUAAUUCCUAGUAAUAAAAGUAGCAUUUAAAUUUCAUGGCUUGAAGUACUAAUAAUAUUAUUCCAACUGUUCAAUUUAUAUUUUUUACAAAGUAUUUAUGUUUAAACAUUUAUUUUUAACACUUAUUCAAAUAUGAAUAUAAAGUAUACUCUUUUAAUUAAUUGGAAAAUCUUUUCUGUGUGAGAAACAUGUUCAUAUCCAAUAUAUUUUUCAAAAUUCAAUAGAUUCAUUUUUGUUCUUGUUUAAUGUGAGAUGAUUGUAUUUUAUGUGAUAUUAACAAAAAUUUCUCGAUUAGAAGUAAAUUAAUAUACCAGGAAUAUAGAUUAUCUCAAUAGUGAUAUAGAUUAUCUCAAUGCAACAAAAAUAUUCUUGGUGUUUUAUGUUUAUCCCUUAGACAGAUAAAAACAUGAAAGUCUGCUCAAAGGAUCGUGCAAGUGAAGGAUCAGCAAAGGUUAUCAAGUUGAAAUGGAAGCAAACACUUAACACAAUUAUAGGCUCGGAUAAAUUUUUGGGGAGUGAAAAUUAAAUUAUAAUUUUUAUAAUAGUAAAAAUAUAAUUUAACUAUUUUAAUAGCUUAUAUCUUUAUAAAUUUUAAAUAAUUGAAUCAAACUUUUAUCAAUUUUAGAAAAAUUAAAAUGUAAUUUUACAUUUAAAAAUUGAAAAAGUUUAAAAAUGUAAAUUUUAGGGAGAUUAUAUGCUCGGAUGAAUUUUGAGAAGUAAAAUUUGAUAUAGAUUAUGUUAAUAUAUAAUUAGUUGUUUUUUUUUUUUUACAUAUAAUGUAAUGUAAAUUAUAUUAUAUUAUUUUAAAUGAUUUUUUUUCAAUUUGUUAUUUGCAAAAUGUAAAUUCAAAUAGUAAUCUAAUAAUGAUGUCAAUAAAACCUUUUAAACUAGGCAGGUUCUUAGAGUUUAUAAAUUUUAACAAUUUGACCCUUAAUUUUUUCUUUUCAACAAUUUAACCCUCAACAUUUUAUUUUGAGUCAAAUUAUGGAUUUUUUAUCGCAAAUGUUGAUUAAACCGAUAAUUUAAUGAUAUUAACGUGACAUGAAUAAUGAAUUCGUUUUAAUUCAACAUUAAACUUUUCAAGUAUCAUCUCAUUUGGACCAUCUUUUCCUCUAACUUAAAUAGAUAGAUUGAAGAAAAUUCCAUUUGAUUGGUGCGCAAUUUUCCUCACUUUAUAAUUGGUGCACAAUUAUGAUUAGAAUGAAAUUAUCAAAUGUUCACCUCUAUUUUACAGCGAGAAUGUUAUAACCUUACAAACAAAAUUCUGAAAUAAAUGUUCUUAAAGACAAAUUGCACGAAAUAACUAAAUCUCAAGUUUUAUUCUGAAUUAGAUUUGUCCAUUUAAUACAUAAUAAUUGAAUUUAUCACUAAAUCCCUCCCUCACUAGGAAUGCAUAAAAGUCUAUUCAAAUCAAUUUAUCUGACCCAAACUGAUGUAAUUCCUUUAUAUACAUAUCUAGAUAUGUAUCAAACAUAAGUGUUAAAUAUAGGUACUUAGAGAAAAUGAAUGGGUUCGUGUAAUAUAGGCUAUGAUAUAACCAACAUCCAUGUAAAAUCGAGAAAGAUAUGAAUAAGACGAUCUUCUAACUCCCUACCCCAGGCCCUAAUAUAGGUUAGGGUAAUACACUAAAAACAUAGAUCACCACUACUCCCCACCGUAAACAUUCUAAAAUCACAUGCAAAAUUCUGUCGAGCUCGUUUUAGCAUCUAAAAAGAAAAAAUAAUAAUAAUAAAAUAGAUGCCUAAACAAAGUCCGAAUACGGGGUGGUGAGAUACAAGAGAUGGGAAAUCAAUCAUACCAUACAAGAUUUAGUCCUCAUCCAUUCCUGCAGGUUGAUCUCUCCUCGCUGGACCUCCAGCUGGUUUCGCCAUGAUAAUCUGCAAACAUUGAAUCAACGGCAUUACUGAGCUUAGUGGAAGAAAAUGUUUGGAAAAUGAAAUACAUAUGCAAUCCUAAGUAACAAAUACAGCUUUGCAUGAGAACCUAAUCCCAUCAGCAAACUAUUUUAAGUGCGAUUUUCAUUUUCAAGCUUUCUGUCUCUAGUAAAUUACCUGAUCUACACGCAACACAGUGCAGGCAGCCUCUGCAGCAUAUUUGAGAGCCAAAAACCUGACAAAAAAAGUCAACAAUUGUAAAUUAUAAAAGAAUUCGAGGUUAAUUUUCGAUGCAAAAGAGAACAGAACUGAGCCAGAAAUAAUUGUAAAUAGCGACUUACUUAGUGACAUAAAGGUCCCAAACAUUCACGGUUGAGACAUCCUUGCAAACACCGUCCUCAGAGUCGUCUCCCCUCAAGUCGAUGCCCACUUUACCAUUCCCAGAUGCAUGCUUUUCAUACAACUUAGAAAUAAUAUCCAUUGGAUUGAGUCCAGCAUUCUCUGCCAGGGUUCUCGGUACCAAUUCAAAACUUUCAGCAAACUUAGCAAUGGCAUACUGAUCCAAUCUGCAAAAUAUCCCGUAGUUAAUAUUAAUAGCUUCUUCUAGUACUCAUCUAAUCUACUAUAAAUCCCAAAAACCUGUAGGAGAUUCCCAUCACAGCUAUGAGAAUGAACAUAACCAAUGCCAGAUAUAAAUAACAUGACAGCCAACAAUGCAGAAGAAGACUCAUUUGACACCUCUCCAGCACUAUGCCUGAAUACCUAGUUGUUCAGCAGGUAGAAUCAUGAUGGUCGGUCUUGCACCUGUUCCGGUCGUACCGACCACUGUCGUACUGACUACCUUGGGUAGAAUUCCAUCAAGCCACAAAUGUGUUCAUGUCAUUCAUACAAGUGUAAUGCACAAACUUGCAGCUUAAAUAUGAAACAAUACAUGCAGGAUGGCAUUUUGCAUUAAGAAGAGCACUAGGAAAAAACAAAUCACCCUGUUUCCUUGAAGGAGAACUCUUUCAGUCUUCUCGCCAACUCGAUUUCUGUAGCAGCAGCUCCAGGUACCAUACGACUAUCCCUGCACAUUGCCUAACCAAAAAUGAAUGGGCAUUAAGAAUGGGAUAAUGAUUCUUUCCUUGGAAUUUACAUCCAAAAAAAAUGGAAAAGACAAUUUCAGCAGGUGAGAAUAAAAGAAUUUAAUCAGGUUUAUAUGGCAUUCAAAGAAAAAGAUCAGCACAAAAACAACCUUAUAUGUAUUGACUCCAUCAUCAACAGCUCUUUCAAGAUCAUCCAAUAUACUAUCAGUACUUCCUCGCAGAACCACAGUGGCAACCUUGUUACCCCCAUCUUCACUUCUCACAACAGUGACCUACAUUAAAUUGGCAAAGGCAAAAUAGAGUGAGGCAAGGACAAGGAACCAAAUAUAAGUAAAGCCACCUCUUCAAACAUACCCGAGAACCACCGAUUUCCUCAACUGAAAUUGAAUCAACAAAUCCCAAAUCAUCUGGCUUUGGUUGGCUGAGUUUCAGCUGUCAGAAGAAUUAAAGGCCCAUUAGGUUGCAAUCAAAAGAUGUGAUCUUUUUUCUUAUAACAUAAUCUAGAUAGAAUGCUCACAAGAGCAGAAGUGCCUGUUGUGCGGCAGAAGCGUCGUAGUUCAAACUUUGAGCUGAUUUUCAAGACCAUUAGCCUGCACAAAUAAAAUCACGUAUCAGAGAUGUUGACCAAGAGAGCAAAAUAAUUGAAAUAAUUUUGAAUCCAAAAAGUAGGUGAAUCUAUCAACAACAACAUAUUCAACAUCAUGGGCUAAAUAUCAAAUCAAAACAAGAAAGAGCAAAGUAAAGAGUUGGAAAUAUGGGAAGGAAGCUUGAUGUACUUGUAACGGUCACAGAAAUGCAAUGCCAUUUCCCCGACUGCUCCACCACUAACGAUAACUUUGGCACCAGAAUCAGCAACUGCUUUAAUGAGCUCCUCAACCUUAGCUUCUUCAGUUUUUGCAUAAUUCUCCAGCUGUAAGAAAAAAACAUCAAGAGAAGCCUUCCACAUUUAGAAUAUUUAACCAACAAAAGCACCCUAUACCAAUUUACAAAAUGUAAAGACGGACAGCAUGAGAUAAGAAAAUCAUUAUGCCCAUUGUGCCCAAAACCACAGAUUUUAAAAUAACAGGAAUGCAUUCAAAACAAUUUGCCUUCUAAUCAGUUACUUCUUUCAUAUGAUCUCCUAUUUAAAAAAAGAAUUAAAAAAUUAUCAUAAUUUACCUGCUCAGCAGAGUGAAUCAAAACAGUUCCUUUUGUUUCAGUAGCAGUUGAAUCAACACCAGUAGCAAACACAGCCACCUAACACGAAGUGAACACAACAAUACAAGUCAAAAAGCAACAAGACCUUUAACUUGGCCAAGUGAAAACUAUCAAGCAGCUUUGUAUAACUUAAAUUAAUCUGAAAUGGAUAAAUAGAAAGAAAAAAAAUUACCUUCGCCUUCUCCACACGUUUUAUACUUCCCACAGCAUCACCUUUUAAAGCCAUUCCCCUAAUUACUGUGCAAUUAUGCAAAACUCCUCCAACAAGCUUUGACACACGGACAUUAUCAACAUCAAAGUUCACAGGGUUCUUGGGGCAGACUUGGAUGCAAGCCUAAUGACAUACAAAAAUAAAAGAAAGAAAAUGCAAUUAUGUUAUCCUUCAAAAGGCAAUAGAUUCUAGAAUAAUUGAUUGGUUACGCAGAGAGCAACGAGUUGUGAAUUACAUCAGCUAUAUGGGAAGACAAUAUAUCUUCCAGUCCAUAUUGUUUGCUAGCAACAGCAGCUUUCAUUCGACUAACAACUUGCUCUUUAUUCCGUACAUCCAUAGUCUCAGAACCUUUCUCUACAAGCUCCUCCAAAAUCUCAAGUGUCUACAAAAGUUAAAACACAAAAACCAAUUCACAAAUGACAGCACAUUUAUCAUCACAAUUAACAAUACUCAGGUCAUUGAAGUCACUUAAAAGUGCAAAGGACAAACCUUGGUAAUUGCUUUAGUAUAUCCACUGAUUAUCUCACUCGGAUGCAAGCCAGUCCUAACAAGCUCCUCAGCAUUUUGGAGAAGCUCUCCGGCAAAAGAAAUUGUCAAAUUAGCCCCAUCACCAAUUUCCUCUUGCUGAGCCUUACCCGCCAGAACUAAUAUCUUUGCCGCCGGAUGCUGAACCUCAAGCUCAUUGACAAUGGUAGCAGCAUCAUUGGUAACAAAGAGCUUGUCUAAAUGAUUAAUAACCAUCUUAUUCAUACCUAAAGAACAUUAACAGAAAAUUAAAGCAAAUAAGGCAUUACAAAAAGAACGAUCAUCCCGGAUUUCAGGAAAAAAAAAACAGAACAAUAGUAGCAUCAUCACUCGCAAUAAAGAGCUUAUCUAAAUGAUUAAUUAAAAAUCAUACUCAUACCUAAAAUACAUUAAAACAAUUGAUCCGAAUUUCAAACAGAAAACAAAGCGGAAUUCAAAUUAAAAACAACAAUUAAUAAAGAAAUUCGAAGAGAGAGAAGGGUACCGUCGGGGCCGAGGGAAGUGCGGGUGAUUGUUGAGAGUUGCUUGCAAGCAUCGAUGUUUUUCAAAACAGCUUCAUCGAGACCUGAGAGAUGCUUGUGACCUUCCUUAAGCAUCGAUUGUAUGCCAUGAGGUUGCAUUGAGAACGCCAUUUUUUUCUUCUUUUUUUGCACAAACCCUAAUCAAAGAAGAGUAAAUUAAAAAAUCAAACCCUAGAAAUGGGGGGAAGUGGAACUUGAAUUAGUCUUGAAGAAGGAAAUAGCAAAAUGGAAGUGUAAGUCAGGCAAACCCUAAAACACUUUCUAUAAAGGUUUGUCUUAGAUGUAAGCUCUUCCUUUCAAAAAUCCAUAGAUUUAAGAUUUUCAAAAACUUGCAAAUUUAGUCUCUAAUAUUUACUUUUAUUAUCAUUUUCGUCCCUUUCUUUAAAAUCACUUAACUUUUAAUUUUUAUUUUUUAAUAUUUAAUAUUUUUAGUCACUUUUCUAUAAAAAACAAUUUAAUUAAAUUUUGAAAUUUUAAAGCUAAAAUGAUCUAAAAUAAAUAAAUGUUAAGAAAUAAAUUUAUUAUUAUGCCUAUUAAAAUUGUGAUUUAGAUUUCAAAGGACUUGUAUCUAAUGAUAAAUAUAAAUUUAGUAGAUUAUUGUGAAAAUGGAAAAAAAUAAAAAUAUAUAUAUAAAACAUUUAUAUAAAAGAUAUAUUUAUAUUUAAAGGGAUAAUUUUUAAAACUGCAUAUUAAUUUUGAUUUAAUGUGUAAUUUAAUAUAUAAACUUUGAUUGGGUGUAAUUAUACAGAUAAAACUUUUUUUUGAACGAUAUAAACAUGAAACUUUGAUCGUGGUUAAAAUUUAUACAUAAAAUUUUGAUUGUGAUUUAGUCAUACACAUUUAAAAAAAUAUAAAUACAUCAUUUUCUUUUCAUAUUAGAUUAAUAUGAUUAUUUGUGUAUACAAUAUGUAAAUGUAAAAUGGAGUUAUAUUGAUAAUUAUUUUAGCAAUUUAUAAAAAUUAAAUCAAAUCAAAAUUUCAUUACUAGAAUUACAGAAAUUCAUAGUUUAUGUAUAGCAUUGCACGUUUUAUCAAUAUUCAUGUAUAAUUUUGAUAUUUUUCCCUAUUUUAAAUCCACAAAUAAUGAUUUAUCCCGUGAAUUAUACAUCAUUUGUUAAUGUAAUACCUGUGGUUUUUUGCUCUCAAUUUGGUACAUGUGAUUUUUUUCAGUUAACCGCUUUAACCUAAACCAUUACAAAAAGUGACUGUGGCAAUAUUGGAUCUCGUCACAUCGUGGGUCUUGUGACCUUAAGCUUAUGCAUUCCGAUGUGCAAAUGAAUCAAACUAAGAACUACCUAGAAUCAUGAAAAUGGACAACCAAAAAGUAACGCCAAUGUGCUCUUCUUAAAGCUAGGUCUUCUUGACCAAAAGGCAUUAUUGGCACUCUUCUGAUUGCAACCUUGUUGAGCAGAUGAAGCUUCACCACCAUGGUCUGUUGCAUGUAGGACUCAUCAUCAGAAGUUGCAUGACCUUCACUACUCUCUGACUAGCUACGAUCUCUAACUCGACUUAUUGGCAUUUUUUGGGUUAGAACCUUUAAGGACACAAGAGGGAUUAAAAGAAAGGAGAGGAAGCAUAAUAUGAGUUUCGUACAAUAGGAAUAAUACUACCUUCUUUGUGCAUAGUCAACACUAACAAAUGAAAUAACAUUAGAGGAUGGAAGGUCUCCAUUAAUACAUUGUCAAAAUGGGUGAAGUUAGAAAAUAUUUUUAAGGGUCAAAAUUAAAUUAUAAUUUUUAUUAUAGUAAAAAUGUAAUUUAACUAUUUUAAUAGUUUAUAUCUUUAUAAUUUUUAAAUGAUUAAUCAAACUUUUAUCAAUUUUAAGGAGAUUAAAGUGUAAUUUUAUCUUUACUAAUUUAAAAUUUUAAAAAUUAAAAAAGUCUAAAUGAAAAUUUUUCUAUUUUAAGAGAUCGGAGUCCCUGCCAACCUUUUAACUACGCCCCUUACUGUCAACAAAUUUGCUAUCCAUUACAAGGACUCAUCAAUAAAAAAAUUAAUUUUUAAAGGCCAAAAAAUCCAUUUUAUUAUAUCUAGACAUACACUAUCUUUUAAUUUUUAUUUAACUAUUAAAUAAUAAAAAUAUUAUAUUUUAUAAUUUUUCGACCAAAAGAAAAAUAUUUAAUUAUUGAUAAAGUAAAAUUUAAAAGUAAAGUAUAGUAGAUAUUUAAUAAAUAUUAAUAAAUAUAUUUAUAUAAAAAAUACAAAUAAAUGAGGUUUUGAUUGAAAUAGUAAAUAUAAUAUUUUAUGUGUAUUUUUAUUAGCAUGUGUAUUUUUAUAGAUUUUACAUAACAUAUAAAUAGAUAAAAAAAUAUUCUUAUACUAAUGUUUGUUGGCUAAAUUAGGCAUUUAUGUUGAAAAGAAAAUUAGGGAAAUGGGUCAAAAUUUGUGAUAUUUAGAGAAAUAUGUUGAUUUUGGAGAAAGGAUGUGAAAAAACGUCCAGUGAGAUGUGUUUUUCUUAGUUGGGUGAAAGUGCGUCCUGCUGGAAGCGUUUUCCUGAUAAGUCAACAGAAAAUGCGUCUAGCAAGAUAGAUGUGUUUUCACUUUCUUUCUUCUCAGUUGGUUGACUUUUUCUAGAGUUAGGGUUUUGUGUUUUUAAGGUUUAUGUUUUUAAGGUUCAGGAUUGGAAUUUUUUAGCGAAAUACUUAGGGGGUUUUGACUUUCUCAUAUCUCUUGUACAAGAAGAUGUUAUCAAUUUGUACCAAUGGCUUACUGUGUUGAAAUGAUUUUUUGCAUUGCUUGAAACUCCAAAAGAAUUGAUGAAAAACUCUUUUCCCAUGAACCAAUUGAUCACGAUAGUACACAGACUCCGCUUGUAGAUCAGUUACGAAACCUGGUACAUAUCGAGCCAAUACUUGACACCAUUGUCACAGAUCAUUGUAUGACUUGUCCCACCCGUUAUGAAUCUUUCCUAUAACCUUUUGUUUUGCGACUCAUGCCUUGUAGUACGACGACGUAUAGUUGUACAGACUAUGAAUAUUGACAAUCACCUAUGGGAAAAGAGUUUUUCAUCGAUUUUUUUGGACUUUUCGAGCAAUGCAAAGGAGCAUUUCAAUAUUGUAAACCAUUGAUACAAGUUGACAAUGUCUACCUAUAUAGGAAAUAUGAGAAAGUAAAAAAAACUGUAAAUAUUUCUCUCAAAUUUUCUAACUCUAAACCUUAUAAAACCAAAAUCCUAACCUAAAAAAAAACAAUCGACUAAGGAGAGAGAAAGUGAAAACUUGUCUAAUAGAAUGGGUGUAUUUUUUGCUGACUUGUCAAGAAAACACUUCCAAUGGGGCGCGCUUUCACCCAAGUAGGAAGAAAACUCGUUCAGUUAGAUACGUUUUCACUCUCUCUCCAAAAUCGAUUUAUUUCCCUAAAUAUCAUAAAUUUCGGCCCAUUUCCCUGUUUUUAUGGCAAUAUGCCUAAUUUAACCAUUGUUUGUUACUUUACAAAAAGUUUUCGAAAAAUUUUUAAUUGAGUUGAGACUCAAGUGAUAAGUAAUACUAAAUCAAUCAAACAUUUUUAUAAUAUCUUACUAAAAAUUCUAUCACAUAUGUAUGCAUUCGAAAACUCCAUAUUUAGAACAAAAAUAUCUACUUAAAAAUAGCACACAAUAAAUAAUGAAACGUAAAGUUUGAAACAACAACAAUAACGACGACACAUAUGCAACAUAUAUGAAAUUAAAUUUAAAAACAGUUUAAAUUGUGAGUAAAAUGAAGUUUAAUUAGGUAAAUACAUUAGAUUAAUAAAAUUAAAUACACUCCAAUUAUUUAUCAUAAUAUUACCAUUUUUCUUAACUUGAUAUCGAGUGAACUUGUGACACAAAUUCAAUCAACAAAAUUAUCAUUAUAUACAAAUAAUGUGGGUGAAACAAUUUGUGUACUAUCAUUUAAAUGUAUAAAAAAAUAAAAAUAAAACUUUGGUUAAAGUGAUAAAGAAAAGAUUUUAUAAAUUCUUGCGAUACGAGUUCAAAUCUCAACAUUUGUAUUUUUUUAUUUUUAAAAUAAUAAAAAGACAAAAAUACCCUCGUAAUAACAUAAUUUAUUUAAAAUAUGUAAGGUUAUUUUCGUAACUUUUUUAACUGAAUUAGUGAUGUGUCAACUUGUAUCAACAAUUCACACUUAAAUAAUAGUAUAUACAUAGAUUUUAUUUAUUUUUAUUUAUAAAGAAUACAUUUUAAUUAUGAUUUUCAAAUAAAUAAAUAAAAAUAUAUUAUAGUGUGAAUUUAUAAUAUUAUUUAAAUCUUUAAACUUAUGCAACAAAUUAAAGAGGUAUUAACUCAAUUAAAAAAUAUUAAAAAAUUAUUAUUUUUAAAAAUAAAUUAUAUUAUUAAGGAAUUUUUAUUGUUAAGAUAUUUUUGUAAAAAUCAAUAAAAUGAUAAAAUUUAAACUUAAAGAUAUUUAAUUGUACUCCUUUAUCAAAAUUUUAUUUUAUUAACUAUAUUUUACAUAAAAAAUUUCACCACUAUCACACUACCAUUACCAUUCUAUUUGCACUUCACUUUUUUUUUUUUAAAUUACACUUCAAACCCUUUUCGUAUUAGAAUUUUAUUAUGGUAGUAUGUUUAAAAAUAAUAUAUAAUAAAUAAUAAAACAUGUUAUUUAAAAUUAAUUAAUAAUAAAUAAAAUAUAUACUAUAUUAAAAUAAAAAUUAAAUUAAAUUAUGAGAAAAAUAAAAAUUAAACAUUUAAAUACAUAAUAAUAAUAUUAAAUGUAUUUUAAUUAUUUAUUAUAAUAUUAUCAUUAAUGUUAUGUUGAUAUCUAAUUAAUUUAUAACACCAAUUAAAUUCGAUAAAGAUAAUAAAGAAUAAAAUUAAAAUGUAUAAAAUAUCAAUUUUAGUUGAGUAGUAAAAUUAUUAUUUUAUGGAUCUAAAUGUUAUGGUUAAUGUAAAUUAUUUAAAUUUUAUUUAAAAAAAUUUAAGCACUCUAAAAUAAUAAUAAUAAUAAAUAUUAUUUAUUUAUUUAUUUAUUUAUUAUUAUUAUUAUUUAUGUUUGACACACAAAUGACCCUCACCGUACAUAAUAAAAUUUGUUUUCUCAAUCUUCUCUUACAGUUCUAUUCAAUCAAUCUCUCAAAAAAAAAAAUUGGUUUUUUCUGUAUCUUUCGAUAACCCUAAUUUUUGGCAUACCAUUUCUUUUUCCAAGUCUUGAUUUUUAUUUCUCGGUUUUUUUUUUCUAAAUCAAGCCCCCAAAAUGUAUUUUCUGAAUAUUUCAUCAAGAAUCGGAGCUUGACCCAUCACGUUUUUUGAGGUAACCGAUCUUGUAAUUUUUUUGAAGUUUGUUUGAUGAUCGGUUUUACUUUUGAUUAUUUAUUUUUUAUGAACAGUUGAAUGAUCAGAUUAGAGAUUGUUUGGUUACUAAAAUCUGGUUUAAACUGAUUAUAAAAUGGAAAGUUUUUGUGUGAUGUUUUGAAUUUUUUCUAUCUUUUGAAUCAUAUUUUUGGGCAAUCAAAAAUGAAUAUGGUUGAUCAAAAGAUUGUUGAUUUUUAUUGUAAAUUAUUGAUUUUUUUCUUUUUGCUUGAUAUUUAAAUGACUGAUACAAAUAAUCUAUGAAGUUGGGAUUUUUUUAUCAAAUAUGGAAUGAAUUUGCAUUGAUUUUUGUAUGUUUUUAGCUACAUUUGCUUUAUAGCUAGUCUGUUCUUGGCAAAAAAAAAAAAAGAUUUAUUUUGAAAGACUAUUUGCUAAAUAGUCUAUUUGAGAUAGCUACUUAGUGGAAGAAUUAUUUGUUUCCUCUUUUGAUAUAAUUUGCUCACUGAUUGUAUUAUUAUUGUUUAUAAUUUGAUAUCUGGUAAUGUCAUGAGAGACAGGGUUUUUAUUCUAAGGGUAUGUUAAAAAAGUUCCAUAUAUAGUUACAUUGAUUAUAUGAGACCUUUCCGAAUAUGUACUGUUUUGCAUGUGAUAUGUGUUUAUUGGUUUCUUUUAUUGGUAAAGUUGGUUACUUUUAUGUUAACAGAAGAUUUGAAGGGGGUAUCGAGGGAAUUAAUUGGAAUGUGAAUUGUAUGGGGUGAAGAUGCCAGAUUUGCGAAGUGGAGCCCGGAGAUCGAAACGCAUUGAUGAUCUUCAGCCUCCUCCUCCUCCUCAUCCUCAACCAGUUGAACAACCGGAGAAUUGUGUACUGCUUGCUCAAAACCGAACCAGGAGGAGAGUUGGUGGAAGAGGGAGGGGUAAUGCUGCAGGUGUAGCCAAAGGGCCCUCAGCGGUGGUACCUACGAGGCCAACAGCUGCUGGUAGAGGCCGGGGCAUUAGGUUGAUAGAUUUAGACCCCGAACCUUGUCAGGUUCUUCCAGGGGCUUUACCUUUGGUUGCUGCUGAACCGGCGGCUUUUAACCGAGUAGAGGUGGUGGCAGAUAAAGAUAUUGCAAUGGAGGGUAGGAGUGGUGACAAAAUAGUUGGAGUUGAUGAAGAAGCUAGUACAACCCCGGUUCCUGAAAGGGUAUCUCCAAAGUGUUUGCCAUAUGUUUCCUUUUUAAAUAUAUUUAUUUUUUACUUAAAUCUUCCAUAGUAAGUUGCUUAUUCCCGGGACACCUUACUUUUGGCAAGAAAACCGGUUAAAUACAGUUUUUUUUCGUAUCCUUCAUGACAGCAUUUCAAGAAUGCUUCAACUAAUUGGAUAAUCAUUUCUACUUCUAUUGUUCAUGAAAGUGAGGGAACCAGUGUUUUAACUUUCUUACCAACGAUAACGUACGUAGUUAUUUUGUUGUUUCUCUCAAUGCAUACCAUUUUUAUUAUUUGUUGCAGGUACAAGUGGGUAAUUCUCCUGUAUAUAAGGUAGAAAGGAAACUGGGAAAGGGUGGUUUUGGCCAGGUUUAUGUUGGCCGAAGGGUAAGUGGUGGUAGUGGUAGAACUGGACCAGAUGCAAUUGAGGUAUGUCCGAGAAAUUCAUUCCCAUGCUUAAGGGUUUUCCAGAUCAAACCACUUGGAUGUGAUGACAUGAGAUUUUUUCAUAACAGGUAGCCUUGAAACUUGAGCACCGAAACAGUAAAGGUUGCAAUUAUGGUCCGCCUUAUGAGUGGCAAGUGUACAAGUAUGGCAUUUAUAAUCCUAAAACUUUGAGUCAAGCUUUUGUUUCUACAUAGUGCAGCUUCUAAAUUCUUACUUUUUUUCUCUUGAUGUCCUUACGAAAUGCAAAGUACCCUAAACGGGUGCUACGGAGUUCCUUGGGUGCAUCACAAGGGUAUCCAAGGAGACUUCUACGUUCUGGUGAGCUUUUAUUCUGUGCUCCUUUGUGUCAUAACACCCGAAAUACUUAAUGCAUCUUAAAGAAAAUUAAUGAAAUUUUCAGGUGAUGGAUAUGCUCGGUCCUAGUCUUUGGGAUGUUUGGAAUUCUUUAGGACAAUCGUAAGAAAUAGAUUCCUCCUCUUUUGUCUUUGUUGUACAUAUUUGAGGCGCGUCUAGAUGAUUCUACAAUACACUUUCAUAUUUGUAAGGUGUAAUAUGACAGGAUGUCUCCUAAUAUGGUUGCCUGCGUAGCAGUGGAGGCAAUAUCAAUUCUUGAAAAGCUUCAUUUAAAAGGGUAUGUCAUAUCUGAACUUUCUGCACUUCAUUAAAUUCAUCCUUCCGUUUUGCAUUGUUGCAGCUGAUUGUUUAUUGUCUUCUUGAAAUAAGGUUCUUGCAUGGGGAUGUGAAGCCUGAGAAUUUUUUACUAGGCCGACCUGGAUCAGCUGAUGAGAAGAAGCUAUAUCUUAUUGAUCUUGGUUUAGGUAAAUUAUCCUCGGUCCCAACUUCCCUUCUGCUGUGUUUAGCAUGAGCGCUUAUAGUUAACUGUUAGUGUUCUCUUCUUCUUCAAUGGGAGAUUUCUCUACGAGAUUAUAAUUUUCUCUCAUGUUUUUUAACCGAGCUGGAAUAAAUGCUAUUUGCUAAUGGUAUUAAUUGCUAUCUGCCUCUUGUGUUCUUGGAUCAGCUUCUAGAUGGAAAGAUGCACGCUCAGGUCAACAUGUUGAUUAUGAUCAGAGGCCUGAUGUAUUCAGGUUUGUGGACUUUUUGCUUUAAACAUAAGAGGGUAUUGCUUAUACUUGGUGCUAAUAUCUUCAAUAUUUCUUUUAUCAGGGGAACAAUUAGAUAUGCUAGUGUACAUGCACAUUUAGGUCGGACUGGAAGUCGUAGGGAUGACCUCGAGUCUUUGGCAUACACAUUGGUAUUUCUUCUAAAAGGGCGGUUACCAUGGCAGGGUUAUCAGGUUUGUUUCAUUGUUUCGAUUAUGGAUUUACCUAAUCUGGUAUACUUCAUUCCUCUUUACCAUCCUGCCUUUUUUGGGGCUUCACAGGGGGAUAACAAGAGUUUUCUGGUUUGCAAGAAAAAGAUGGCCACUUCACCCGAGUUGAUGUGUUGCUUUUGUCCUGCACCAUUUAAGCAGUUCCUCGAAGCUGUUUCAAAUAUGAAGUUCGAUGAGGAGCCCAAUUAUGCCAAGCUAAUAUCCUUCUUUGAAAGCCUAAUUGAACCAUGCACACCAUUGCAACCAAUUAGAAUUGACGGAGCUCUUAAGGUGGUUGUUAUGCCUUUUCCCACAAUUAAAUCAGUUCGAUAGGUUGUUCAAUUAAAAAACUUUUUCUUGGUUUCCUUUUGUAUAAAUAGAUUGGGCAAAAGAGGGGAAGAAUACUCAUUAACUUGGAAGAAGAUGAGCAACCUAAGAAAAAAGUACGAAUAGGUAAUGCUGCUACUCAGUGGAUUUCGAUUUACAAUGCUCAUCGCCCUAUGAAGCAAAGGUAAAAUUGCAUUUCUUGUUAAAUAUAGUAUCCAUUUCUACUACUUAUUGUUGUGAAAUGCUCAAAUAUUUUAUUUUAUCUCCAAUCUUUAAUGUUUGUUGUGUGAUCUUAUAUUCAAGUCGGGCCCCUCCUCCUAUUGCCAAUUUGUUUUAUGGUUGAUGCUUGGCAUGGUAUCGGAUCCUUGGUUUUCUGUUUCCGGCCUAUCCCCAUGUGAGGUUAACUUACCCCACGUGGCUUUCCACAUGUGGCCCCUUGUUAGCUGCAUUUAGGGGGGAGUAUUAAGUUCUGUUAUCCUACAUCUAUUAAAAGUCUUGGGUAUGCUGUGGUCUUAUAUUCAAGUUGGAUUCCCCCACCUAUUUUCAAUCAGUUUUAGAUUCAAUCGAUGCUUAACAACUUUCAUUAUUGGUGUCUUGUCUUUGAUGAUUAAACUUUUACAGUGACUGGCCAAAACUAAAGUAAAUGACAAAAGACCCAAUACUCAUUUCAAAGUUUGCAUGUGGUCCAUUAAAAUUUGAUUGCCACUCCUUGAUGUUUGUUUUCCGGUGCAUGCCUCUUUCCAUGAAAUGCGAGAUAUUCAACUAUGAUGCUUAAUGUUUGUUUUUGCCUAGAGUUCGCUCAUCUUCGGUAUGUUCUCAAUCGGUGUCCAUCUGACCUUUAGCUUUUUACCAAUCUUGUAGAUAUCACUACAAUGUAGCGGAUUUGAGAUUGAGCCAACAUGUGAGUAAGGGUAAUGAAGAUGGUUUGUUUAUUAGUUGCGUGGCUUCGGCAGCUAAUCUCUGGGCCCUGAUCAUGGAUGCGGGAACUGGUUUCUCUUCCCAGGUUUAUGAAUUGUCAACCGUAUUUCUACACAAGGUGAUCAUUCUAAGGCCUAAUUGGUGUCAUUUUUAUGCUUGCUUUAUGCGCCUUUUUUACUUUGGACUUCUAAUAUCAACUCGAUUUUAUCAGGAUUGGAUUAUGGAGCAGUGGGAAAAGAACUACUAUAUUACUUCAGUAGCUGGAGCAAACAACGAGAGUUCCUUGGUUGUUAUGUCGAAAGGUUGGUCAUUACAUACUAAAUAUAUUUCUUUUUAGACUACUUUGAAACUAGAAAACUUUUACCUUUUUAGCAGUGUCAUUGAGUUUGCUGAGACCACUGUCAUGCACAGAUAAAUUCAUAUAUUAAAAUUUAUUAAUGAAUCCCAGUGUUAAAGACUUGUCGAAUUUAUGUUCAUCUUCCUAAACCUGCUGCCAUAAUGCUGAAGUCAUACUAUGUUAUAUCCAAAGUGGUAUGCUUAAUUUGAAGGGUCUUUAGAGGGUCGUAUCCCAUACUCAUGUCCAAAGGUGUCCGACACAGGUACUUAAAAGAAAAAUGACGAGUCGAAGCAACAUAGCAGUCAUACACGAUCACAUCUUAUUGAGAUUAAAUUUAGUACUGAUGUAAAUAUGAAAUAGUCUACAGUUUAUGUUUCCUUCUAAAGGCUAGAACUGACUCCUUGGUUUCAAAAAAGCAAAAACCAUUAGUUUUUAGGGCUUAUUUUCAGCAAUUAACCUUUAGAAAGAAACUAAUGUCAAGCUUGUGGGUUGCAGAUGAGAUCAGUGAAAGCAAUAUGCUCCGAGCUUGCCCGAGAUUCAUAUAUAUUGAAAGCAUGUAAAUUAUAUUGACCAUCUAAUCACAAGCUAUUAUUGAUAUUCUGUGACUUCGUAGGGACUCCUUACACCCAGCAAUCCUACAAGGUGAGCGAAUCUUUUCCGUUCAAGUGGAUAAAUAAGAAGUGGAAAGAAGGCUUUUAUGUAACAUCAAUGACAACUGCUGGGACUCGCUGGGGUGUGGUAAUGUCAAGGAACGCUGGAUUCUCUGAUCAGGUAUUCCUUUCUUUUGAUCUUUACAUGUAUCUUCAGUUUUCCACUGUCCUCCAUUUCCUAAGUAUCUACUUACGCGUUGUUUUGCAUUUAUUUCAACCAUUCAAGGUUGUGGAGCUCGACUUCUUAUAUCCAAGUGAAGGAAUACACCGGCGAUGGGAGAGCGGUUACAGAAUAACAUCAAUGGCUGCAACUGUGGAUCAAGCUGCCUUCAUACUUAGCAUUCCAAAACGAAAAACAACAGAUGAUACUCAGGAAACGCUCCGUACAACUGCCUUUCCCAGCACCCAUGUAAAGGUGGGUAUACCCUAUUUUCGCACCUCAAUAUCCUUUUAACAUCCAUAUGAUGAUUGAUCAUUGGUUUGGAUUUUAAUGUUACAGGAAAAAUGGGCAAAAAACCUAUACAUUGCAUCGAUUUGUUAUGGUCGGACAGUUCGCUAAUCCCGGUCUGUACAUUCUGACUUAAACCAAAAAAAGAAAAAAGAAAAUGAGUUCAUGGUUUGAAAGCCACCGAGUAUCUUUCGUCUCGAGUUCGGUUAACUCUUCUAUAUAAUCUUCUCAUAUGUGAAUGUAAAAAGGGGAAAACUUGAAAAAAGAAAUGCAUAAGUGAGAAAUUGAAGAAAUGAGUUAAAAUUCCUUGAGCAGUUUUUCUGUUAUAAGCAUAAAUUUGAUGGUAAGCCGUCUUUUAUUUUAUUGAGAGAUAUCAUUAAUGGCUGCAAGUAAAUGUGCAGUGAAAAUCUUUCACCUGAGGAAAUAUGCCAAUACUUUCAUAUACUUGAUAAUCUGUAUAUUUAUAACAACUCUUCUAAAGUUUAUAAGAAUUUGCCAUAUAUUCAUUUAGUAUAUUACUAUUUUGGUUGGAUUGGGUUAAGGUUAAUAUCCUACGGUUUGCCUUCCUUCUAGAGGUGAUUGAAUCCAUAAUUCAGAAGCUUUUUGAUUUAAUCAAUUAUUUUUAUUUAGUGUUUGGUGUUAUUCAUGUUAUCAUAGGAAUGUGACAUUCUUUGAAAUGUAUUUCUCGGGAAAGUUUGGUUUGGUAUACAUUAUCAAGUAAUGAUAAAUUAAAUUUUUAUUUUUAUUAAAUAAAAAUAAUAUUUAUGUACUUAAUAUUUUUCUUCAACUAAAACCAUAUUCAUUAAAAAGAAAGACAAAAUGAACAAAGUGAAAACAAUCUAUAGAUUUAAUUUCUAUUUUAUUUUUAACAAAAAUUUAAGUUAAAUCUUUAAUAAUAAAUUUUAAUUGACAUUUUAAUUUUUUUAAUUUAUGAUGUUAAUUGAAAGUAAAUUUCUUUUAAAUCUGUCUUUCAUAUAUUUUGCAAAUAUAAUAAUGAACGUAUAGAAUUCUGUACAUAUAAAAUUUGUUUUAUAUAUAAUAACAGACAUUGAGGUUAAUAUAGGAGAACGUUAGGGGUGUGUAAAUUUCGGAAAAAGUUGUGUAAAUUUUGGAUAAAGUUGAGUUAAUUCAGUUAAUCGAAUUAGUUCGGUUAGGGGUAAGUUAAUAAUUUUUUGGAAGUUUAGUUAACAGUUAAUUUAAAUUGAAAUAGGUCGGUUAACCAAAUUAACUGAUCUUAAUAAAUAAUAUUAUAACAUAUAAGUAUUAAGUCAGGGUUUGUUAGUUCGGUUAAUUUUUUGGAAGUACAAAUUAAUCGAUCAGUUAAUUCGAUUAAUUUUUUUAUGUUUUAUAUUUGUUUUAACCAAAAAUAAAAAUAUAAAAUUUUAAUUAAUUCGGUUAACCGAUCGAAUUAACCGAAAAAAUUCGGUUUGGUUAAUUUAUUUUUUAACAAGAUUGGUUUAGUUAAAGAUUAAGGGUUUAAAAGGGUCGGUUAAUUUAAUUAAUGGUAGUUUGAGUCGUUUAACCGAUUGAACACCCCUAGAGAACAUGGGUUCGAGUGCGCUGAAGCACAUUAUCCUCCUAUUUAUGGGUUGAAGAAGGGCUAUAGGUAGUUUUAGACAUUGUGUUAAAAAUAAUAGAUAUAAUCAAAAACUAUAAUGAAAUUAUUAAAAAAAACUUAUUUUUGAAUAAAUUAAAAAUAUUAUGUAUAUAUAAUACUUACGAAUAAUCUAUUGAAAUAUAUAAAAAAAUCAAGUUGUAAAAUAAAAGAAGAAGAUAAUAAUUUUAUUUUAUUUUUACGUUUAUCAAAGAAAGAUUUUAAAAUAUUCUAUGUAUUGAAAAAAAUUUCAAAGUCCAUCAUUUGUACUAAAUUUUGUUUUAAUACUAAUUUUUUUUAAGAAAAAUGAAAAUAUAAAGGGAAAAGAUAAGUUUAAAAAAAAAUUAAAUUGUUUAAAAAUAUUCGAGCAUUGGUCAAAUAGUUUGAUAUGUAAUAAAUAGAUAAUAUUAGUGAUUAUAAAAAUACAAUGAGAUCUUAGCUUAGUUAUCAAAGACGGAGGCUCUAGGUUUUGGUAUUUAGAUUCGAGGCUUAUUAUGUGCAAUUAUAUGCGUAGAUUUUUGAGCUCAUCAUGUAUGGAAGUUUUAGUCUAGAUAAUCUUAGUUUGUUGGGUUUAGUUAGGAUCGUAUCAAUUUUUAGUUUGUUAAUAUUGUGCUGUAAUAGUUUGAUUCUAUUCAGUGAUUACUCGGAUAGUUCAUUUGUAAUAGUUUGAUACUUGUGGUUACUCAGACUUGUAUUUGUAAUUAUAUUAUACUUGUUACACUUUAAAAAAAAAUUUGAAAAAUUUAGUAAUCAAAGUGUUGGUAAAAGUACCAUGAAGGCCAUUAUACUAGAAGUCAAAUUGCAUUCUACCCCUCUACUAAAACAAUGUGUAAAAUAGUACUCGUAAAUUAGAUCAAAAAGCAAAUUGGCAAUUCUAUUAAAAAAAUCAUUCAUAACUACUACUAAAAAUUGGUUCUUAUACAUAUGACGUGUAACUGUCAGAUUUUUCUAUGAACUACAUCAAUUUUUAAUAGAAGAAAUAGAUUAAAUUUUGAACAGAAAGGAUUAAUUUGCUCCUUAACAUAAGGUACAAGGAUUAAUUUGCCCUUUUUUUUAGUAAAGGGGGUAAAAAUACAAUUUGAGUCCUAGUAUAGAGACCUCUAUGGUACUUUGAGGUAAAUGACUUAUUUGGCACUCCAAUUUUACAAAAAAAAAAGAAGAAAAGACUAUUUUAGUUCUUCAUUUUAGCCCUUCACGCGUAUGUCACGUCAAUAAAAUUAAUAAAAUAUUAUUAUUUUUUAUUCAUUUUUAAGUGAAUUAAUAAACAAUUCAAGUUCAAGUACUAAAACAAAUGAAAAAUUAAACGGAAAACUAAAUAACUUUAUUUUAUAAAGUUAGAAGUUAAAAUAAGCAAUUACACUAUACUUUUACCUUGAAAUGUGAUCAAGCCAAUGAACUUGUAGUUCACCGUCUUGAAAAUGUUUAAGGCAAUUUUAUUUUAUUUUUUAGAACUACGAGUAUAUUAACAAGUUCAAAUCAGUAAAAUAAAUAAUUGUUAAAAAAUAUCAAAUAAUUUAAAAAUAUAAAUUCAAAACUUGAGGAAUUCAGCACUACAAAAGUUUAUCAAAAGAUUUUUAUUUUAAUUUAAUUAUUGAAGCAUAUAAUAUUAAUAAAUAAAUUAUAAAAAUAAUCACUUCUAUUUAUCUCAUAUUAUAUUUUAAUUAUUUAUAUUUAAAGUAUUAUAUUUUAAUUAUUUAUAUUAACGUUUUAUUAUGAAAUGAUCACUCUACUGUUAAGAUUUACUAUCUCCAAAAAUCACACUCCAACAUGAUAAUUAAAAUAUGUUUUAAAUUGAGUAAAAAUAAUCCUAUAAAAUUGAGUAAAAAAAUUUAUAAAAAUAAAUUCAGACAAAUUUCUGCUCAUGAACGCACAUGCUUUUAACUAAAAGGAUAGUUUAGUAAUUUAAUAUACUAAGAAACUGCAAAACCCUAUUUCUCCUGUUUCUUACAAAUUUUUACUCCUUCAAGUAUAAACCCUUUCAGGAGAAAAAACACUUGGAAGCCUCACCUCGGAGAAGCCGAACAGAGAGUGUGAUAAAAAGGCAAAAUCCAUGCGACCACCGAGAGGAGGCGGAGGUUUCCGUGGCGGCAGGGACGGUGGCAGAGGGAGAGGAGGUGGCCGAGGAGGCUUUGGUCGCGGUGGUGGACGUGGUGGCGGUGGGUUUCGUGAUGAAGGCCCUCCUGCUGAAGUAGUGGGUUAGUGUUUUUUUACCCCUUUGUGGUAAUUGUUAUUUUGGUUUUCUUGUUUGGAUGCUAAGAAAAUGAGAGGAACAAUAAAAGAAACCCCAUUUUGAUGCAGCGAGGAGUAAGUACUAGGUAGUAACAUUUUUUAUUUACGGUUUUUCUUCCAUUGCCCUUUGCUUUGUCUAUAUACACACAUAUCUUGUUGGAUGCUUAGAAAAUUAAAUUUAAUUGCAAAAUUAGGGAUAAAAGCAGUGGUUUUGUUGCAAAUAAGAGCUCGGAUGUGAGUGCAAGUUAUUAUUUUGGUUACUUAGCAGUAAAAGAUAUUAUUUUGUUUUGUUACUCGAACUUGAGUGCGAGUGUAAGAUACAAUUAUAUCGGACAUUGGUAUGUCUAAUUUCUUAAAAGAACCUUCACUUGUAGGAUUGCGUUUUGAAAUUUGUGUCUGAAAAUAUGUCCGAUACGGGUGUCAAUACACCAUACUUAAACAACAACGAACAAUCUGGGCAAUAAUUUGACUUAACGAACAAUCUGGGCAAUAAUUUGACUUUCUUUUGUUUGUUAUUUAUGCAGAGGUAUCUACAUUCCUUCAUGCUUGUGAGGGUGAUGCAGUGACAAAGCUGAGUAAUGAGAAAAUACCUUUCUUUAAUGCUAACAUCUAUCUGCAAAACAAGACCCAGAUUGGGAAAGUCGAUGAAAUCUUUGGUCCUAUCAACGAAUCUGUGAGUUCUGAUGCUAGUUUUCAAUGCAUUGUUCUUAAAUGUUCUGGACUUUCAAAUGCAUGUUGGUUUAUUUGCUUUCUUGCUUGUUGCAGUAUUUUUCAAUCAAGCUGUUGGAAGGUAUUGUAGCGACCUCGUACACUGCAGGUGAUAAGUUCUAUAUUGACCCAAGCAAACUUUUGCCUCUUGCUAGAUUUCUUCCACAACCAAAGUAUGUUUGCUUUUCCUUAUAUUCUUUCAUUUACUGUCACAAAAUUGCUUUGCUUUGAUUUAUUUUAUCGAUGCUUGUGUCCUGGAUUUGUUUUGAGAUGAUCUAACCAAACUUGUCGAGUUUCAACCGAACUUGCAUGGGGAAAAAAACUGAAAUUUUUGGGUUUCAACCUCCCCCUAUAUGUCUUUUUUUAUCUCACAAUCAAGUUCGGAGGCUAGGCAUGUUGGUUUCUUAUCUGAAAUUUUCGGGGCAAGUUGUGGGGCAGUUCUAGAUAAAAUCCACCUUGCCACGAACUUAUAUGGGAGAAACAAGCGAACUUUUUGGGUUUCAACCUCACCCUAUAGGGCUUUCUUUUAUCUGACAAUCGAGUUCGGAGGCUAGGCAUGUUGGUUUCUUAGCUGAAAUUUUCAGGGCAGGUUGGGAGUGGUUCUAGAUAAAAUCCACAUUGCCCCGAACAUAUAUGAGGAAAAAUAACCCAACUUUUCAGGUUUCAACCUCACCUUAUGGGUCUUUCUUUUAUCUGACAAUCAAGUUCAGAGGCUAGGCAUGUUAGUUGCUUGGCUGAAAUUUUCAGGGCAUAUUGGGGGCGGUUUUAGAUAAAAUCCACCUUGCCUCGACUCAAUAUUUUUACUAAAGUACCCCCUCUUUUAAUUCUUUAACUUUUUUUUUAAUAUAUUUGGUUUAGUUGGUAGAUUUUUGGAAAUGGUGUUUAAGUUUACAGAUUGGGAGGAGUUCUUUGUUUCAGGGGUCUGGUCUUGGGAGCUAGAUUCAAGUCAAGUUCUGGUUUCCAAUCUGUUGCUAUCCUCAUAUGCUUCAAUUUAAUUUAUCUUUUGAUGUGAAAUUGGUAGUUUGCUGGAGUUCAUAUAAUUGGUUAUGGUACAUAAUAUCACAUGAUGUAAUUUUUUAGGGGGCAAGCACAAGGUGGUGGAAGAGGUGGUCGUGGAGGAGUUAGAGGUGGCGGUAGAGGCGGUGGUCGUGGUGGAUUCCGUGGAAGGGGUGCUCCUAGAGGUGGCAGGGGUGGUUUUAGGGGCGGUGGCCGUGGUGGUGGUUUUAGAGGCAGAGGGAGAUUUUAAGUAAUAACAUUUUGUAACAGUACCAAUGCCCAUUUAUUUUAUCCUUUUGCAAUGUCAUGGGCAUUGAACUUCGAAAAUUUGAUUCCGAACUUGAUUGCGACUGUAGCAUGUUCAACACAGAUACGUUCAUCUCGUACUUUUGUCAAUCGAAAGUGCCUAUAACCAAGUUUAUGAUACAUGCUGGUGAUCCAGCUUAUUCCCCUCUCCACGAUAGGUUAUGCUCUAUUGUUCUACUCCGACAUAAGCCAAGCUCUGAGGUUGAAACUUUAUUUUAUUUUUUAAUAAUUUCGUUAUAGAUUUCGAUCAUAUUUGUUUUUUUUAACAUAAUCUAUAGAAUUACUCAUAAUUUUUUUCCAACUCAUAAAUAUGUUUGAAGCGCUUCAUACUAAUCGAUAAAUUGGCAACAAUAUUCAUACUAAUCGAGUUAAGAUUUAAUUGAUAAAUUGAGAUUUGAAUUUUAUCUAAAGAGUAUUUGUUUUUGAAGUUUAGAAAUUUAGCAGCUUGAUUUUUAUGCAUUAAAUUUAAAAUCAAUUAUUUUAUUGUAUUUUUGGUAAAAUUACAUUUUCAGUUCCUUUUAAUUUUGAAAUUGAGUAAACUAGUCUUUUUGAAAAAAUAGGAUAAUUUAAUCUUAUCAGUUUCGAAAGUGAGCAACUAAAGAUAAUUAAUUAUGAAAUUAAUGUUUUUCAUCCAUUGUACAUGAGUUCGAUUGAUAUAAUAACAAUUUAGCUUUCAAAGUUUACAUGUUUUGUCAAUUUGACUUUAAUUUAACAAAUUUAUCUUGCAACAUUUUCUGAAUGUGUACAUAUUGAGGAUGAAUUUGUUGAAUUUUUAAGAAUUAAAGUCAAAAUGACAAAAUAUAUAUGUCGAAACCAUCCCUCGAUUAAAAUUUUUUUUAAUUUUAAUGAAAAAUGGUGAAAUCGACUUUUUGGGAAAUAGAAAUAUGGAGUCUGCCACCGAUCCUUUUGUUUUGGUGUGAUCGGGUCACCUAAUAAUUUGGUUAUUUUAAUAAAACAUUUUCGGUUUACUAAAACACCGAUUAUAGUCUACGAAAGUGUGAGAAAAUGGGCUCAGGAGUCGGUUACGUAUGAGGAAGGGUUAGCACCCUCAUUACGCCCAAAAUUGGUACCAAAUCGAUUAACUAUUGUCCUUAUGUCUAAAACUAAAAAUGUUUUUGAAAUGUGGUUCUUGUUAACAACAUUUGAAUAACCCGAGUUGGUUGCUAAAAAUCUCCUUGUUUCGACGUCCGAAAAUUUAUAAUUUGAAAAUCACAAAAGGAUGCUCAACUAUUUAGUCCAACGAAAAAAUCGAAACCUAGCACAGUAGGGUACGAUUCCUCGAAUUUCCAAACAUUGGCCAUUGCCUUACCUUACAAAAUACGUGUGAAAUUCCGAGGAGAUAUUCGAUUAUUUUGGACAAAUGAAAAAGUGCAACCCAGCACGAUAAGGCACGAUUCUCAAAUCGCCAAACAUUGAACAUCGUCUUUGUUUUUAAGAAUGUUUUCUAAAAGCGAGUGAAAACCUAAAGGAAUAUUCGAUUAUUUUGACUAAACGAAAAAUCACAACCCAGCACGGUAGAGCAUGAUUCCCGAAUCAUCAAACACCGAGUAUUGCCUUCGUUUUAAAGGAUUUUUAGAGGGGCUGAGUGAAAUUUUGAAGGGAUAUUUGAUUAUUUUAAACAAUCGGGGAAUUGCUACCCAACACGUUAGGGCACGAUCCCGCGAAUUGCCAAAUAUCACAUAUCGCCUUCGUUUUAGAGAUUUUAAAAGACACGUGCAAAAUUUUAAAAUGAUAUUCGAUUAUUUUGAACAAAUGCGAAAUUGCAACCCAACACGUUAAGGCACAAUUCCGCGAAUUGCCAAACAUCAAAUCUCAUCUUCAUUUAAGGGAUUUUAAAAGAUAUGAAUGAAAUUUCAAAGGGAAAUUCGAUUAUUUUGAGCGAACGCGAAAUUGCAACCCAACACGUUAGGGCACGAUUACGCGAAUCGCUGAACAUCAAAUUUCGUCUUUGUUUUGAAGAAUUUUUGGAUGAAUACUUAAGAACAUAUUAAGUCGAUUUGAAAUAAGAUGACAUUGAUCGUAGAAAUUGGAUUUUAUAAAACCACAUUUCGAAAAAAAACAAAUGAAAACGAUGAGAUGGGAUAAUAGGCGUAUGCAUAAAAAUAUGACAAUGGAAAAAUGAGGAUAAUAUAAUUUAUCUAAUCAACUACAAGGACUAAGCAUAACUAGCUUGGAAAUAUAACUCAACUUCAAUCAUGCAUGGAGAAUAAUUAGCUUGACAAUAAUGAAUACAUAAAAUGCAACGACAACAUACAUGGCAUAAUAAAAAUUAUUAGAGGCACCAAACAAAAUGCAAACCAAAGAAACAAUAUGGUAUAAAACUAUUUCACAAUAAUGACGAAUAAAUGGACAUAUAAAAUAUAGGUUGAAAAUUUGUAUAAAACUAAGGAUAUAUGUAUAAAACCUUUUUUGAAACUGAUAUUAUAGAAUGAAAGUUUAGGUCAAAUUGCAUGUAAAAUAUUUUAAAUACAAAUACAUUUAAAAGUUGACAAACUACAUGAUGAUUUAAAUAAUGUAACAUAAAAGAAUGAGAAUAAAGAUAUGUGACAAGACUUAAUACAUAAAAUAGAUUUAUGAAACAUGUGUACAUGUAUAAAAAUAGUAUUUAAGUGUGAAAUUUUAAACCAAAACAAUGUGUGGUAAAAUGUAUUCUUAAAAGGGUGACUUAUGUACGUAAAAGAAAGUAUAUAUAUAUAUAUAGAAAAAAAAUUAAGAGAAUUCAUAAAAUAACCUUAGUAUGGGACUAAAUAUGUACAUAGAACUAAAUUAUUAACCAUUUAUGAACAAAUAUACGUGAAACAUUUGAGCAAGUGUUACAUAGAUAUUUUAAAUAAUACAGUAUAAAAAUGGACUAUAAAAUGAUGAUUAAAAAUAUAUGAAAAAGUUAUUGAAAUAGUUCAACAAAUAUAUAAAAAUGUUAAGCACUUUAAAGUACAAAUAUUAUAAAUUGCAAAUUAUGAACCUUGAUUAAAAAAAAUGUACAUGACACAUAUAUAGAAUAUUUAAAGAAAUGUCAUACAAACAGCGAAAUAACAUGAUAAAAAGAACCUUGAACUCGUUACACAAAGAAGACUAUAGGUAUAAAAUCAUGGAUCUAAUAAAGUAUAUAGAUCAAAUAUAUGUACCAAUAUAUAUAUAAGUAUUUAAUCAAAAUGUUAUAUAAAAGUGCUAAAAUAAUUUAACGUGAAAAGAAUUUUAAAAAGAUGAUUUUAUAAACAAAAUAGAGUUUUCAAAAAGAACUCAACACAUAUAUACACGUAUAUGAAAAUAUUAGGAAUUUUAAAAGAAUAAGCAUUACGAGUCAAAAACUCAAUUAAAAUACUACAUGUACAAAUAUAUAUAUUAUCUAAAAGAAUAUUGUACAAGAAUGUUAAAAUAAUCUAAAUAAAAUCUUCAAAAACAAAUGUACAAAUAUAACCAAACAAAAUGAUUAAGAUAGAUCGAUAUAGAGAUAUUAAAUAUGUUUAAAAGGUAAGUUAUACAAAUAGAAAACUAAAAUAAAAAUGAAUUAAAAUAGGAUGAAUAGUUUAUAAAUAAAAAAAAUCGAAAAUUGGGUCAAUAAAUAAUCCGCGCAAGUAUGUAGGGACUAAAGCUGGAAAUAUUCUAGAUGCCCAAAACGCGACACUGUACAGUGGACUAGAGUGCAAACACGCACAAAUUGCAGGGGUAAUAAAGAAAAAUCCUGAAGCAUGAGUGCGAGCUGAUUGAAACGUGGUGCGAAAGGAGAGGGGCCGAUUUUGGAAAUAUACCCUCAUUGCAAAAACACGCGGGUCAUCGGGGCAGCAAACUGGAUCGAGUCGGGCCCGAUUAAACGACGUCGUUUCUGAGCCAUUGAAACGGGCUUAAAACGGCGUCGUAUUUGGUCCUUUAAAAGGACCUAAAGCUGAAUCAUUCGGCCAAACAAACCCUAGCCCCUCUUAUCCCUCUCGUCUGACCUUAGAACUCCCCCUUUAGCGCCGAUCUACGUCUAUCAGCAGAGACGAACAGCCCCGGGCUUCAAAGGAUGACCAUUUCGGUCGUGGGAUCCCUUCUAAACCCCGAUUUCGACGAAAUGAAGGGGAUACGACGGCCAACUCGCAAGGUAAACCUCUCUUUUGCUUUCUUUUUUUGUUUUUGAGAUAGAUUUCAAAAUAAAAAGAAAAUAGAGGCGUAAAAAUGAAAACAGGGAACAACCUUUGCAGAAUAUUCAACUUCUUUGUAUUUGAUUCCUCUUUUUUUUGUGUAAUCUGUUCGUAGUCGUAUUACAAUCGAAAAUCAAAGGCUUUAUAGCCGAAUAACUAAAGAAAACAACAAUUUUUGUCCUCUGCUUUUGUAUUGGCUUGUUGCUGCUUUCGUUUGUUUUCUUUUGCAGGUACGGAGCACGGGGCUGUGCGUUGGCGCUCGGGUACGGGUCUAGGCUAGGGUACGGAGGUGGUACGGUCGUUGCGAGGCUGUUGCGGCGCAAGAGGGUGACCUAGGGUUCCCGAAAGUGUUGAAGUUUUUGGGCUUUUUGGGCUAUUCGGGAUUGGGCUUAUUGGGCUAGGAUAUUAAGUUUGGUUUUUGGGUCAUGUAUUGGGUUUUAUAUAUUUUUUGUAUUUGUUUGUUUUGUGUUUACACGGGCCCAGGCAGAUUUGGCCCAUUACAAUGUAAACAUCAAAAGUUAAAUUUAUUAUUAUACUAAUAAAAAUUAUGUACAAUUGAUAGAGACAUUAACAAAAUAAUUAAUUGUCUGAAAUUGCUC
rnacentral:lncRNA from 1 species